UAUACCGUUAUACGACAUCAUGUCCACUUUCUGGUACUCUGAACAUUCCUACGUUCGGCCUGAUGUACUAAAUUCCGUAGGCUUCGGUUGAUCUAGAGAUACCCCUUUUCUUUGCAGCAUUGGAUGGCUCCAUCGAACAUGUCCUCGAUCCCGUACUUAUACUCAAAACCGGCAUCCAACAGUUUCCUUGACGAUAGGCGGAAGAACCUGGGGCUUUUCAAUUCCUUCAAGGACCUACAAAGAUUUGAAAAGCUUUGCUUUCAGUCCAAGAACAGCAAUAAUCUGUUACAUCAUGAAAUGGAAUAUAACCGGACUUACUCUGGUGAGGGUAUCUGAAAUUCCGGGUAUCUUUCGGAGAGAAACUUGGACAUCUCCUCGAUGGUCAUUGUGGCCGAGGAACAUAUGUACCGCCCCUUGGCAUCAGAGUGCUCGAAGAGGAAGAUGUGUGCUCUCGCCAGGUCAUCUACAUGCACGAAAGAUACUUCGAGAAGAAGAGAGUACUCAUUCUCGUUCCCUGUUAAGUUUGAACGCAGUCAAUCUAAGAUUUGAGAUUCUUUGUAUCAUCGAAAUGAAGAUAAACAUAUGAAUGGACAGAUUUUAGUCUUGUCUUCCUUCGUCAUAUACUUGACAUUAAAUAGAGACCUUGUAAAAUUUUGGAAUUUAUGUAUCAUUUUGGGGACCAAAACAAUCAAAUUGGUCAUGAAUUUGACUAUAAUACAGAAUAUGUAAUCAUGAAAAGUUAUUGUAAAAUCUAUAGUCAUGUAGAUCAAUAUUAUUUGAACCUCAGCUUAUAUGAGAUUUCUGGGGAUAUCACGUGAUCAAUGGUAGACUGACCCUAUUUAUAUUUGAUCAUAUGAUUUUUUUCUCGUUUAUCACAUUACCUAAUACCAAAGCCAGCGAAAUUCGGACGGAUCCGGCAAACUUGGGGCAUAUGAAGGGCCCGUGGACAAAUGUGGGAACCACGGUCACCACUUCCAGUCCAUGCUGCUCGCCAAACUCGAGAACCGCCUUCUCAGUCAACGUCUUCGAGAUCCCAUACGAAGCUCCAAACUUCGUCAUUUGUCGGAUGGACUCGACAUCGCUCCAGGUGUCCUCAUCCAAUAUAUCGGCCCCGGAGUUGUUGAGUUGAGCUGCAGCCGCACUCGACGUGUACACAACCCGCUUCACUGUCUUGGAGUUCAGGCAGGCCUUCAGGAUGCCCAACGCUCCAUCGAUGCAUCGUUUGGUGACGACUGGCUCUGGCUCUCUGUCCUCGAAGUCCAUCGGGGUGGCAACGUGGAAGACUCCGACACAGCCCUUGACGGCUGGGCUGAAACUCUCGGGGUCACUGAGGUCAGCGGUUAGGAUUUGGAGCCUUUCUGAUGCUCCGGGUAGAUUUUUCAAGAAGCUCAUGUCCCUUUUGCCAUCUGAGCGGAACAAAUCGGUCAAUCGCUUUGCGAAUAAAAGCUCAAACAUCUAAUGGGAAACUGAUGUGUGAGGUUAACUGGAGAUAGCAGCCCAAAAUAAAUUAACCAACAUGACUCAUUCAGGAAACACUCCGAAUUACAGCAUUAAACUUAGCAACGAGAACUGCAAGAAAAGCCGAUUCGAGAGAGAAUGAGUGAAUUCAUAUGUCGGCAUAUGGUACAUGUGCAUCUCAAUCAUAUAAGAGAAACCAGAUCAUCAUUAACCAAUUCAGCUAUCGCUAAUCCAACCCAUCUUUAGUUCAUCUUAUGCCUCCUUAUGCUUGAAGAGGCAGCAAUAAGGGGUGGCUUUCUUAUAAUUCUAUGUCUAAUGACAAUUCCGAUCAGAAUGGAUCCUCAAACGCCCAAAUCGGACAAAAUACAUAGAAAUUUCUCCAUUUGUCGAUACCUCAACUUUCUGCAUAAACAUUUCACAUACACUUAAUCUAACAAUCAAUCUUUGAUCAAGAAAGCUAACCUUAGUAUUGCCAAUAAAUUUGCAGGCAUAGACAGAUCAGAUCAUGUUGGACCGUCAUGUCAACAUGUAUAGUACAAAACAUCAAUCUCAGACUAUACACUUGAUCAGAACUCAUGGCAAGAAUGAAUUUCCAUGUUCAAGCAGGAAGAAAGAAGAAGAGAGACUUACCCGGGUCAGGUCUGAUGGUGGUCCGGACGGAGUAACCAUGUUCAAGGAGCCUCAUGAUGAGCCAUGAAGCUAUGAAGCCAGUACCGCCUGUCACGCACACCGUGCCUCUGUUGCCCUCCAUGGCUUGGAGAAGUGAGACGCUUCAAUUUUCAGGAAGCGUCCAACUUUUUUGAGUGACCUCGAUGUUUUGGCCAGCAGAGCCGGUGCGCUUCUCCACUUAAAAGCGGAUGCAACGCCGCUUACGUCACUUUGAUUUUCAUUUUCAAAAGGGGCCAAAAAAAUAAAUGAGUGGUAACGGAUACAUCUUCCCCGAAAGUCAUCUUUCGAUUUGAAUAAUGAACUCAAUCUAUAUUUCAAUCAUCCAUCGUGGACUUAGUCCUACACCAAUGUGUCCAUAGACAAAUGUCUCUCAACAUUAAAUGCCUAACUUCAAAAGGGGCCAAAAAGAUAAAUGAGUGGUAACGAAUACAUCUUCCUCCGAAAGUCAUCUUUCAAUUUGAAUCAUAAACACUCAAUCUACAUUUCAAUCAUCCAUCGUGGACUUAGUCCGACAUUGAAUCAUAAACACUCAAUCUACAUUUCAAUCAUCCAUCGUGAACUUAGUCCUACACCAAUGUGUGCAUAGACAAGUGUCUCUCGACAUUAAAUGCCUAACACAAGUUGGCUUGAGAUUUUUUUUUUUUUUUGUUUGUGAUCGAGAGACAGCCGAAGAUUACUCUUUAAAAAUUACAGGACUAUUCACCGCAAGCCGCUAUUUAGACGUAAACCCUCGAGGGCUAGCCCAGUAAACCACCCUUGGACCCCACUUAAGUUGCGAAUAUCCGGAGAUUCGAACUCAUUCCCUCAGUAAUGUGAUAGUAAAGCCCAACCAUCACGGCUACCUGUGGGUGGGUCAAGUUGGCUUGAGAUUCAUACCCGAUAAAACUCUAAUUUAUGACUUAAUUAAAGACAAGAUACCCAUUUGCUACUAGACUACCACAUACCCAUUUGCUACUAGACUACCACAUUCGGUGGUGCAACAACUUGACAUAUGUUGGAUAAUAUAUAUAUAUUUCUUAUUUUAACAUCUUAAAUUCUUUGGGAAAAAAAAAGACUUGUUUAACAUGGUAUUAGAGCACAAGUGACAAGGUUGAAUGCUUGGACUCCCUCCCAUGUUUUAUAUGUUUAUCCGUCCUCAAUUUUUCAUUUGAUGUGAUUAUGCACCUAUCUCGUAUUUCAAAUGUAAGUCUUGAUUCAUACACAAGAGAGGGUGUUAAAUAAUAUGGUGUAUCUAUAAUGUUGGCAACCAUCUAAACAACUUAAAAAAUGAUUUGUGUCACUAUCUAUAGAUCUUUUGAUUUCAUAAAAUUCAAUGAAUUCGUCAUUUCAUUCAAGUUUUUCACUCUAUCAUCAAUCAAUAGUUGGACGGAAGCCUUGCAACAUGGCCAGCUAUUAUUUCUUUUUUCUAUGGAGUGUCGGGAUCAUAACAAAUACACAAAAAGAUCUUAACAAUUGUUUGUGAAAAUCAAUUUGCGAUCGACCCUAGAAUAAGUUUUAUGUUUUUCUUUAUUCAUUUCUUCGUGUGAUCUUGCGAUAUUCCAUGCCAUUCAAUAAUAAAUGUAUAACUUGAAAGUACUAAUUUGAACUUUCAUUUUAUGAACAAAAUUUUUACUUUAUCAAUGUUCAUAUUUUUCAUAUGUUUUUAUGACUAGUGAAUUGUAAAAGUAAAUGGCGGUCAUAAUUUUUCUUAAUUCAUUACAAUUAAUUAAUUAAUAAUAUAGAUGAAAUCUAGGUAAAUCUCUAAACUAAUCAUGAAACUUAUGACAAAAAGAUUGGUACGAUUUUAUUAUUAUUCUAACCCCGUAAGAGGACGACCCUCGUCGUGCCUUUCGAUGUGAGUGGAGGUUUCCACAAUUCUCUGUCAAGGUCCUGCUCGAAUGCUGGUGGUGAGCUUGGCGCUCGGUCUCAAUCCACCGAAAGGGACCAUUCAUGGCGAAAAACCUUGCUUUUCGAUUCCUUCCAACUUUUUAUCCGGAGUAGCGCCUGACCGGUGUCAAUCGUUUACACGAUCUUUAUCCUCACCCCAGCUGUGGUUGGACGAAACGGAAACUGUACUUGCCUCAGUGGGAAGCACGCCUAGUUAGGUUAAUCACUGCAUGUUGACUUUCUUUCCAGUGAUGAAGCAAAGCUACUUUUCUUUUUGUGUCUCUCGUGCGUCCGUCCUCUCGUUUCCCCCACUUUUGCCAUUUGAUCCGCACGCUGGUCCGAUUUCUCUGAAGAUGUGGGUGAUUCUACACUGACCCAGCAGCCGCAUUAGGUCCGUAUAUGGUACUCAUGUUGAUGACAAAAUUUUCUUUUAGAUCACUUCAAUGUCACUUUUUAAAAAAAUAAUCAUUAAGUAUCAAUUCCGAUUUAGAUGGCGGGAAAUUUGACUUGGCCUUAUUUUAUUAACAUUUCCUACUAACGCGACUUGCCAUAAUGCUUCAUUGGCAUUUUAUUCUUUAAACUGUGUCCUUUUCAACUUUUACCCCAAAUUUGAAACCCUAAUUUAAUUUUUCCCCCAAAAUCACUCUUCCUCUCCACAAAGCCACUGCAAAUCGAGGUCAAACUUUUUUCUUUGCUUAUGGUGGAAUGCUCGUGAGACUGUGUUAGUGAGUGAAGAAGGCCAAAUUUCAUUGGUUAACUGAUGAUUACUUGAUUGUGAGAUGGCAAUUUGUAGAGAGCGACUAAGCUACCUGAAAUGGUGGGCACGUGAGCAAGAGGAUGGGGCACAAUAGAGAAACAAUAUUGAGGGGAAUAAAUAUCCGUGCCCUACUUCAACUUUCCCCUAAGAGAUAGCCUUAAUAUCAUAUCGGAUGCAACCAAGAUAGAAUGCCAGAAUUUCUAGGUAUCCUUGGACCGAUUGAAAGCGAAAACAGAAAUAAAAUUUGGAUUGGAGAGUAGGCAAAAAUCGUCGGUGUUCAAGGAGAUACAGUUGAACCAGUGAAGGUGUUGAAAGGACGAAGACCCCUCAUGAGUAAGAUGUAGACGAAAGCUCAACAACUAUACUCCUUUGCUCUUGGGAUAAAAUGUCUCGGCUUUGUACCCUAUUGGAAGAGGGAUCUUGGAGUUUGAGAACAAGGAUGAAAAUUAUAGUCUAAUCCAUGCUUGGAGAAUUCAAAAGGGGCCAUGGAAGACCCCAGCAAUAGUAGUGGGUACACCCACAGCAAUAGAGGCGAAACCUAAUCCCCGAUAGAGAGUCGCUAGGGCAAGACGACCCAUAGCAAUGUGUUUGCCUUGUGAGAGUUAAAAAGCCAAACCCCUCAACUCUCGACCUACUUGAAGAGAAGAAUGGCAAAAAUCAAACUUGGACAGCCAGUAAAGCAGGAAAGCUACAUGCUCUUCAUUUUCGACAUCACCCGUCCGGUGAGCAUAGGUGGUUUAAAAAUGGGUACAAGAAAGAUCGGCAUCUUGAAGAAAAAAGGAGCGAGCCACAAGAUCAACGGCACUGGUGUCAUCGCCAUAUGGACUCAAGCCAGUGAUAGCAUACAAAUCCAGAGGGUUACCAACAUGGGGCCAAAUCUAAGAAAGAAACAAUUGACCGAUGGAGACUAGAAACUUGCUAGGCUCCCUAAAAGUUUAUGGUUAAGCUUCCAGUCAAAGGUACAAAACUCUAAGGCUUUAUCGAUUCGAGCUUUACGCCAUACCUCGUAGUUAGCAUUUUUCAAUCUAAAAUACCAUUCAAAUAAGACAUGAUCGAAAGGAUAAAAUGUCCUAAGCUUUUGAGAAGAGGGACUCAAGACAUGCUCCAAAAGGUGAUCCCUUUGGGAGGCUGGGACACAUGUAGUGUUAAAACUUGGCAUGAUGGGACAUUUAAAUACAAAAAGUUAAGAAAAUGACACUUAAACACCAAAAUCAGAGCAAAAUGGAUCGAUUAAGUGCCAACGGCAAUUGAAGAUUUACUAAAUAUUGCACCUAGAAAGGAAAGGAUCCUAUUGAUGAGAAGAAACUACCUUAAAUAACAAAGACAGGGCUUCAACACCGACAGAAGAAGUCAAUAGAGUACAACAUGCGAAAUGGGUGGCAAAGGAGAUUUGGUAUAAAUUGGUGGUAACCCAUGUGGAAACCAGCAAAAUGAAGAAGAGCAAAAUUAUCUCUCUCACAACUAGUUAGGAUAUGUUCAAUAUGGAUGAGAACAUAUGUAUACUCAUCUAACAAAUACCGUGCAUGAACUACCAUUGCCUGGCAAAAUUUUCGAAAAUGCAGAAUUGAUUCUUUUGUUGGGCAUAGCAUCAAGAUCCUUCUGACUCAUAAAUCACUUCAAAAGUCCUUGAAAUAUUUUCCAGAUUAAUCUAGGAGAGACGCAAUAUACGAGUCACAAGGAUCUUGAUGCUAUGCCAGCCAAAGAAUUAAUUGGAUCAGUGAUGACUAUGAAGUCGAAAAAUGACUAUUUAGGUGGAAACACCAAGAAGAACAUAUCAGUUGCUCAUCACUCAAAUGAGGAUACCAACUCUUCAGGUAACGGUGAUUGAGACUAUCAUACUUCCUAGAAAAGUUCAAGCGUUUUCUCCAAAACUUUAAAGGCAAAAAAGCUAUCACGGAACAACAGCAGAAGCGAUUGACACAAAAAGGACGUAACUUGCUUUGAUUGUAAGAAAGUCGGACAUAUCGAGUUCGACAAUCCUGCUAACAAGAGGAAGACGACGAGAUCAAAGAAAUACAAGGCAAAGAAAUCGAGUUGAAGCAAUCUCCGUAUCUCUAGUGAAGAGGUAAACUCUUGAUUGUGAUGCUUUUUGAUGAUGAUUUUGAUUUUGCAUUUGAAGAAAUGUGUAUUGAAUGAGGGAAAUUGUUCUUUAAAGGAACAAAAUACUGUUUUGAAGAAAGAAAGUAUGUUUUAUGCAAUGUUCCCCAUAAGAUUAGGGGGAGUUACUUGAUAUAGAAUGGAUAAAAAGAGGCUGGAGAUAUUAUUAUUAUUAUUAUUAUUAUUAUUAUUAUUAUUAUUAUUAUUAUUAUUAUUAUUAUUAUUAUUAUUAUUAUUAUUAUUUUGGUAAAGGACUGGAGAUAUUAUUGUCUAUGGUAUUCUACAAAAGUGUAAUAUGAGAAGUUGAAUGUCAAGUAUUGAAAAUGACCCAUUUGUAGUUUAAUCUUACAGCACAUGGCAACAUCGAUAGUGCAUUAAGCAUUAGAAACAAAGAUUGCCGACACUAUUGACAAAGAACAAAACAUGCAUAUGCAGUGAUCAAUGCUAUAAGUGCAACAUACUCUCAGUACUACAACAUCAAAUACAAAAGAACGGAAGUAUACAGUAUCAAGAUUAUUCAUGCGGUUUAAUAUCUCGUGUGUAGCCAACCGAGAGAUCAGUUUUCACAAGCUGUGCUAGAUACAUGGUACACGUUUUCUCGACGUGUUCCUUUAUUUUUUGUCUGCAAUUUUUCUUAAGAGGACUACAUGAAAAUGAACCCAGACAUUUGCCCUGGCCUGCAUACCGAAUUUUGUUGUAUACAUCGACUGCGAUUGAUCUAAAGAAAUCCCUUUUCUUUGCAGCACCAGAUGGCUCCGUCGAACAUGUCCCUAAUCCUGUACUUAUACUCGAAACCGGCGUCCAACAGCUUCCUCGACAAAAGGCUGGCGAAUAUGAGGCCUUUCACUUCCUUCAAGGACCUGCAAGGAUUUGAAAUUUUUUACUUUGACUUCAAGAACAUCAAUAGCGGAUCUGUUAAAUCAUGAAAUGAGAUAUGAGAAGACUUAAUCUAGCGAGGGUAUAUGAAACUCCGAGUAUCUUUUCGAGAGAAACUUGACAUCUCUUUAAGGAACAGAUGUAAGAGUUUUUCUGAUGUAAACUACAUUAAUUAAGAUUGUAAUUUAUCGUUUUACGGGGUUGGUCUAAUAAGAUAAGGCAUAAGGUUUCUUAAUAGUCGAAUAUGGGUCUGACUUAUGUGGGCUAAGUUAGGCCCAACCCGUGAUGAGAGACCCAUCUAAAACUUUAUAAAUAGGGCUAAGAUCCCUCCUCUAACCCUCAUUCUUCCACGAACACUCUCUCACCUCACAUAAGGAAGUCGUGAGGGGCGGUCUCAUCACACUAGGAUCCGAGGACCAUAGAGGAGAAGAACCUCAAAUCGUCAUCAUUCCGCAUAAAGAACGGUGGAUUUUAAAUUAGGUACACAAAUCUUCGUCUACUUCUCCAACAUGUUUGAGUUUCUACUUAAGUCAAUCCUAGGAUGCCGCUUCGACGGCCAACAUUUGGUAUGAGAGCCUCGUAGCCUAAAACUCCAACUAUUGCAUUUGGCCCGUAUUCGGAAAUUUUGUCCAUUGAAACUUGAUUUUGAAAACAUAUUUAGACUUAUCUCAUUGGGAUGAGCAUUUCGAUGGAUGGCACACCUCCGAUGGAGGUCAAACGCACCGCCCAUUAACAUUUCGAAUUUAACCUACCUUUGGACUGUUUUGAUGGUUUUCAUGAUUUUUGGUCCAGUGAAAGUGGAUUUGAUCACUUAUUUGGCUUUUAUUCGUUAAUAUGAACAUUUUGGUGGGUCGUACACCUCCAAACAAGGUUGGACGCACCGCCACAUACCUACAUGCGUUGCCGCGGCUCCAGUGCGUGAUCACCUAAGGCAAUGGGUGACGUCAUCAAUCAUGUCACCUUGCUGACUCGCGCCACUGCCAUACUGUGAUGAUGUCAUGGCUAACGUCAAAGGGCGAUGAUGACCGGCGUUGACCAAGUUGACCUGACCUAAGUUGAUUAGGUCCUGACCCAGUGGACAAUUAACUAGUCUCGAUGGACUAUUGAUUGGUCGGAUCAGUCGAACCGUUGAUCGGUUGGAUCGAUCGAUACUAAGGUACUAGUCAAUUUGGCAUGCUCGCGUGUGCAGCUCACAUGCCACGCAUUCCGGCAGCGCGUGAGGCGUCCUUUGGGACAUGGUUUGCAUCGGCGUACUCAUAUAAAAGUACUCUACACUAUGAUGUGUUUAUUUUAUAUGUUUGAUGAUUUUAUGGAUAUGAACAUGCAUGUGAAACCCUAAAGUACAUGAUUUUUUGGGUAUUUUUGAGUAUUUUUCAUGUAUUUCUCUAUGAUUUUGGAAAUACGUUAUGAACUUGCAUGUGUAUCAUCACAUAAAGAUUGUGUAGAGCAUUGAUUCAUUAAUAAUAUGUAUAAGAUUCAGCAUUAAUGAAUAGAGUAAUGUGAUUAACAUGACAUGUGAUUUUAGUGACAAAUUGCCCCUGUCAUCAAGUCUAAAAUCACAUGUAUAAGAUGAAUGUGAGUCAUAAAAUUUAUAUUACUCGUAUGAGAGAAUUUUAAUGAUUCAAUUGGGUUGUGAUCGUCAAAGUGGCAUGCUUGGUUGAAUUUGAGAAAUAUCGAUAUCAUAUCCUGAUGAGAUGUCUCAUGUUCUAAUGCAUGGUCAUACUCUUAAAUGAGGUGAUUGUGUAUUAAUUUAUAGAGAGAUGCAUGCACAACAUAUAGUUGAGGAGUGACUAACCUUAGCGAACAUACACCCAUAAGUGGUGAAUUCACAAAAGGUUAGAAUAUAUCCUCAUAAUCAUUGUCAUGUGGAGGGUAUACAAUUAUAUAUAAUGUAUUCUGCCUAAAAUUGUUUAUAAGAUGAUGCAUGUAGCUCUCGACAAGUGUACUUAUAAGGUUUUCAAGUUACAUAAUACUCACAUGAUGUCAACUGCAUAUGCUACUUAUUAUUAAGUUACAUUCUCUAUAAUGGCAACUCCGUUGUGAUUGAGAUUCUUAAUGAGUCAAAUUUUAAGUAGUAAAAAGAGGGUUUUUUAUUUGGGACGAAGGUGGUAGACAUUUAUAUUGCUCUUACUAAAAAUAAAUUAGCAAUCUCACUAUUAGCGACAUGGAACUAGAAAGCACUUUUGGCUGCUUAGGAAAAUGGCAAUUAAAUUUGUUCAUUAUCCAUGAGGCAUUCCAUUUAGGAACACUUGAAAAUGAUUUACUAGCUGACUACACUGCUAAAAGGAUGAUGAAAUUGAAAUUAUGUCUUGUCUAAUGCUGAGAUUGGGUUAAAUGCAAUGACUAUUCAACAUAAAGUGAGAUGGUUUUGAUGAUGUUAAGGAUUACGUCCUAAGAAUGGUAGAUUUGAAAUCCAAAAUCAUACUCAUAAAAGAACUCAUGAAACCACUAGUCAUUCUAACAAUUUGAUUGUAGGAUAGCACCAUUUAAGAGAAAUUGUGGCAUUUGCUACUUUGUAGGAAAAAAUGACACAUAAGGAAUAUUGUAAUAAAUAUAAAGCUUGGUUCUCCAAGCUUAAGUAUCACAACCCCAACUCCAUCUUGGAGGUCGAGCUGUAGGGUAUUUUGCGACAUCCCAAGCUUUGUCGCCAUCCCAAAUUCAUUUGCUUCUUAUUUAUGCACAUGCGAAAAGUGUAAACAUACAAUCCCUGACACAAAUAACAUGGGAACAUGAAAUACAAAUAUCACUAACAUACUUCAUGUAUCAUAUAAGUAGUGAUGAUUACAAGCUUAUUUUACAUACGAAAGUGGCUUGGGGUAUCCCUUUCUCCGUUGCAGUGGGUAUUAAUCAAAAUUGGGAACCUUCUUCUUUUACAUAGGGCCGGUAUGCUUAUCUUAGUCCAAAUCCUCGAACGGUUCAUCCAUAUCACUAAGAUUUGGGUGCGGGUUGUCAAACCCGCGAAGAGGUCCUAUCCAUAUGCCCUUGUAUCUCCUAUACCAGGCUUUGAAAUGCAAUGGGACAAGCUCACCCAAGCCAUUUUCUAUCCAUACAACGGAUGACACUUUACAAUAUGUAACAUCAGUUUCUACAUCUAUCACGUCCGUCAUAGUAGUAUAUAUCUUUAUAGGGCAACAAAAAUACACAGUAGCCAUGAUUCUAAGUACCUAUUAAAGAAACAUGGAUGAGUACUUGGAAUACUCAGUAAGUAUAGCCUCUAGCCUUCGAAUAGAACAUUGAUUCAUCAUCAACACUAGUGAAUUAUUUCACGCAAAUCAUUGUGAAGGCAAAUCAAUUGCAAGAUGCAACCAAGCUUCAAGCACAAAUGAAUGACAAUUCUUGCAAUCUUUCGUGCUUAUGAUGCAUGCCCUAAGCUUAUGCACUCUAGCCUUUCUUUCUUGCUCAUGCAUGGCAUGCUUAUUAAGCUUUUCUCUUAUGCUCGAAACUCGAACCCAAGUCUUCUCGGAGCCGUCUUGGGACUCAAACCCAAAUCAAUUCGGGCUUUUAAACCAAGCUUCCUAGAGUUGUCUUGAUACUCAAACCCAAUUCAAUUAGGGCUUUUUAACUGGGCUUAUAGCUUUUUGCCGACUUCUAGGGCUCAAACCCAGUUAAUAUGCUCGAGACUCGAACCCAAGUCUUAUGCCAACCUCUGGGACUCGAACACAAUUCUUGCUAGGAAUCCGGGGACUCAAACCUCAUUCUUAUCUUUUCUUAUCUUUGCUCAAGCACAAAUCCCUUCUUAAGGGUGUAUUCAAGUCUUAUGCACAUGCCAUGAACUAUGCAUUUCAUGCUCAAACAUGAUGCACGUGCCAUGAAAUCAUGAAUUUCUUCAUCAACAACAUCAUGAACGAGCCUAAGCCCAAAGCUCCGCUCGAGUAGCAAGCAUAAAGGAACCCCGCACCAAUCCAAGACGUGAACUCGGUACGCCUCAAUACCGAAUCACAUAUUAUGGCUAUGGGCGAACCUCGACUUAUACCGAACAAAAGCUAUGAACCAUGACUUCAUUCUAGUCAUACAAGAAAUUCAAGUACAUGAACAAGUCAUAGAAUACAUCAAACAUCUAAGAAUCAAUCGACCUACCUUCGACUUGUUUGCAAUAGGAUUUCCUAGAGUUAAAGACGUCUCGAAUGUUACUAAAAGAAAAGAGAAAAUAUACUUACUUGGAUGAAUCUCGAACUAAAGCUCAAACUAUACAAGAUGGGUGGCUUUCCUUGGAGGCUAAAAGAGAGAAAGUGAGCGUGAGAGGAGGGGCAACUAAGGAGGAGGAAUGAGGAGGAAAUGGGAGAAAGGUGGUGGAAAUGAGAAGAGACUCCUCCUAUUUAUAACUCUUGGUGUCAUCAUUACUAAGCCAAGCAGUCUAUUCCUAUGAUCCCAAGUGUCUCACCUAAUUUCCUUGGGUCGCAAGUCUACUUUGCCUCAUGAUUACACCUAGAAGAUGAGUUGGCCAAGCUAAAAGCCUUGCUUGGCAAUCUAAGCUCUUAGGCGUCAUUGAUGAUGGCCCUCUUUUUGCUCUUUCAUUGGUCCACCUAGAUGUCGCAUUCAAUGGACAUUUAAUGAAAUUUGACAAUAAUUGUACUAUAGUUGCCAACUUGGCAAUUCUAGAAUAUUCGGUCAUUAAUGAAGGCUUGUGUAUCACUAUCUAAUUAGUCCACAUAUGUGCCGCAUUUUUCUAGAAUCUUCAAAGAUAUUUUGGCCUCCAUCAUAACUUUUGACUAUUUAAAGAACAACUCACCCCUUCAUUUAAUGAGGGGGUUCUAGGAUUUUCCAUAUUUUGUCUUUUUCUUCAUUAAUAAGGUGAUCUAGAGAAUCCUAUCAUCCAAGUUGGUUCCGAAGCCGAAGAAUGGAUCAUUAGGUACACCUCAAAAAAUCAAAUCACGUUUACCCAAGGUUCGGCCAUCACGUCCCAUAUUUGCCCAAACCGUUCCUUUGGACGGUCGGUCGGCACGAUCGGUUGUCCUUUAAUCAAUUUGAGACCAAUCCUAAGGCUACUCGUGGCCUAGCACUAAGCUAAAGCACUCAUGGACCUUGGAAUUAGUGAUGGAAUAGCCGAGUCUAUCCCUGAGCUCAUUUCGAUCGGUACCUGAUCCAUCGAUAGGGUUCAUGAUCGGUACAUUACCAAUCCAUGAUCGGACAUCACCAAUUCGAGAUUUUGUUCCAAUCACUAAGAAUUAAUAGGAAAUGAUGUAUUUUUGGUUGGAAGAUGAUCGCAUUUGAUCAAUUCAGAUCAUCCGUGUAUCGGUGCAUAACUGGGUAGAAUCACCCGCGACCAAAAACUUCGAUCGAUUAGAUUGACCCAUGACCAUCCACCGAUCCAAAAUCUUCCCACAGCCAAUUCUCAUUAUCAAAAAGUCAUCUUAUGAGCUGGUGAUCAUAUCCCAUUGGUAUGGUCAGUAAAAAAUUCGAGGCCAACAUCUCAACCGAUUCGUUACUGGCCGAUCGGUUGGUUGGUCGGUCGGUCGGUCGGUCGAUUGGAUUAUGAUCAAUCCAUGAUUCCUUACCGAUCAAAUUGAUCGAUCCAUGGCCAAUGGCCCAUGAUCAAUCCUUUUAGGACCUUAUGGCCGAUUCUUACAAGGUUGGAAUCAAGGAUGUUACAGUAAGUCUAGAGUUGAUGAUUCCUUAGCAUUCAUUUAUGGAUCCAACUCCUAUCAAAAGCCUCAUUUGAUUCUUGGUGGCUAGACAAUGGUGUAGCAAAUUAUGUUAUUUGCCAUUAGGGGAUUCAUAAAUCUAAAUAAGCCAAAUCAAGAUAAAUCAUAACUCAUCAUGGGAAACAUUAUUUAAUAUUGAAUUAGUGGGAGAUAUUAUUUUGAUUCUAAAUUCUAGUUUUAACUAUGUUUUCCAUGUCAAAUAAAGUUGGGUGCUACAAUAUGUCAAAUGGAUUAUACUAAUUAUACUAACCUCCCAACGUUAUGUACGUCGUUUAUACAGUUUAAAAUGUUGUUUACAAUAGAUAUUUACCAAAGGAACAGUCUUAUGCAUUGUAGCAUAGACGUCUUGAUCAUAUAUCUAGAGAAAGAGUGAAAAGACUGAUAAUGUUGAUAUUUUGUCUACUCUUAAAAGUUACCUAAAUACUUGUGUAGACUAUUGUUGAAAUAAGAUGAUUAAGAUAAAGAAGUAAAUUGCAGUUUGAAGUCCUAACAUGUUGAAGGUCAUUUACACUAAUAUUGGUGGACUAUAUAUGGUAACAUUGUAUAUAAAUUUUUCAUUUCAACACAGUCAUUAACGACUAUUCUUUUUAUAUUUGAUUAAAGAAAAGUUUGAAUCUUUGGAUAAAUUCAAGUUCUUUUGGACCAAAGUCAGUUGUGAUAAGAUUUAAAGAUUGUCAUAUAUGAUUGCAGUGGUGAAUAAUUUGACAAGUAUAGCAAUGCUGGAUAGCUUAAAAGAUUUUUUUGUCAAAUACUUGGAAAAAUUCUAAGAUGGUAACUUUGUUUAUUAUGCCUGAAAAACUUGAACAAAUUGGUAUGGCCGAAAGGCGUAAUUGCAUUAUAAUGGACAUGAUAGUGAGUAUGAUUACAAUGAUAAUUUAUCAAGUUUUCUAUAGGACAAAACAGUCCAAUAUGCAUUGAACUGCUGUUGACACCUAAAUUUUGAUUAGGUUUUUAAAUUAGGCCUUAGUCUCUUUUAAUUUUUGUUUUUCCUUCGGAUAAUAAUAAAUAAUAAAAACAACAAAAAAAUAGUAAAAACAAAAGAAAGCAAAAGCCCAGCCCCUCCCCUCUUUUUCUCUCUCUUGCGCGGGCCCAGGGCCCAGCCCUUGUUUUCUUGAGUUUUGGCCCGCCCCCCCCCCCCCUUCUCUUCUUCUUCCUCCUGUCUUCUUCCUCCUCAGUCACCUGCAUCUCACGCACGGUGGCCGGCGAUGUGCGCGAAGGAUGGCCUAUGGCCGAGGGGAGUAGGCCGACGUCAGCCGGAGAGGAUAAGAUUCAAGCGCCAUCAAUGCCGAGCACGCUUCGUUGGACAGGUGGCGGAUGGGACGCCGGUUCGGCCACAAGGGUCCGGUCGGCAAGCCAAAGACCGGCGGCCGAGCCUCUCCGUCGACCGGACCUCCUCGCCUAUAAAUAGCGAAGCAUUUCUGUCGUCGAGGGAGACACGAGCGAGCUCCGAGAUCUUCCCACUGAGAGACUUCGGGGGAGGAAUCAAAGAGCAAGCGAGAGAGAACUUGGGUCGCGAGCUCGGCUGACCUCCCACUGAGAGACUUCGGGGUAGGCCGCCGGCGAGCGAGUCCGAGGAGGUUAGAUCUGGCCGGUGGAGGCUCGAAUCUAGCUAGAGUGAGAGACAACCAAGGCUGAGGGGACUGCUGGAGAGAAGAGGAGUCGGAGAAAGCCGCUGUGAGCCGAGCACCAAUUGCGAACCGCGAGAUCUCGACGCUAGUUGCUGCUGCUGUCUCCCCCACGAGCCGCUUCUCCUCCGAAGCUCGAAGAACCAAUGCGAAAUCGAAGUUUCCCUGGUUGUGCUAGUCCGUCGUUGCAGCCGCAACAACCCCCGAUGCCGUCCAGGUUUAAGGGCCGCCGUCAUCGCCACAAGCCGUGCCGCCGUGCCAUGCCAAAGCCGAGAGCAGGUGACGAUGGAGCCCUGCCUACGCCGUCCAUCCAAAGCUCUAAUGGUCGUCGCCUUUGCCAUUCACUGCCGUCGCCGUAGCCACCGUAGCCGCCGUAAUGCUCUCGUUUCCCCCCCCCCUUCGGCGCCGUGAAUUCGCAAGCCCUAGGGUUUGCAAUUUCCGGGUCAUAAAGCGGAUCCGGGUUUGGAAAACGGGUAGGGAUUCCGUGAUUUAAGGGGCGGCGGAAGCCGGGUCGGAUCCGGGUAGGGUUUUCGCCAGGAAGCCGGGUCAUCGGGUCGGGCCGGGUGUCCUCGAACGCCCGACCACGACGCCGUUUCAACAAAACAAAAAAAGGAAAAAAACUGAGUCGUUUUGGGUCGUCAACCCGGGUUGGGCACAACCCAUGGAUCCAACCUGGGUCGGUUUUUAUUUUAAAUAAUAUUUUAAAUAAACAAAUAAUAAAUAAAUAAUUUAUUUUCCAAAAAAACAAAAAUAUCCAAAAUAUAUUUUAUUUUCCAAAAAUAUUAAAAAAUGUUUUGAUUUCCAGAAAUCGAAAAAUAAAAAAAAAUGAUAAAAAUAUUUUAUUUUCCGAAAAAUCAAAAAAAUCAAAAAUAUUUCAUAUUUUCCAAAAAAAUGCCAAAAAUCCAAAAAAAAGCCAAAAAUUCAUGAAAAAGCCAAAAAAAUUCAGAAAAAGCCAAAAAGACUUGUAUUUUUUUUUUCCAAAAAUACCAAAAAAAUCCCCAAAAAUCCCUUUUGUGUCCAAAAAAUUAGAAAUAGACUCAAAAAAUAUUUUUCCUCCCAAAAAUGCAUGGAAAAUCCCUCAAAAAUCCAAAAAAGCCUUAGGGUUUAAACAAGAUUAGGUACCGAAAGGGCAUUAGUGAUUAACUAGUGUAAUCAAGUCCUCGAUCCUAAUUUCUCUGGUUACGCAGGAGUGAGUAUUUCUCCCGAUACUUCACUUGGGUUUCUAAUCAACCCACCCCAAAUCGAUUAGUGGCGACUCCAUUUUAAAAAUUGAUUUACAGGUUAAAAACUCAGACUAUUAAAGUCGUGAAUUGGUGGACUUAGGAGAGUCCGGGCAUAACUAAUUUCAGCCGAACAAUUAGCCUCCUUAGGCGCUCGUACCCGAUUGCGAGCGCCGAAAAAAAAGAGGUCGCGACAAUUUGGCGACUACGCUGGGGAAACUUCGAAGACUUAGGCCAUUUUUGUCUUGUUUAAAUUCUUUACUAACUUAGGUUUUUUUUCUUUAUGCAGGUCAAAAGCUUAGAAAUUUAUUUUAAUUUUUGCUUAAAAUAGAUUAUCUUGUGAUUAUAAACUGUUGUGCAUGCUUUACUGUUUUAAACACUACACAUGGCACACACAACCCGGCCGCCGGACCUGGGCCGCCAUAGGAUUUCUAGGAUGGUGUUAAGAAAGAUACGAUCUUGAACGCGAGACUGCGAUGUAGAGGUUGCCUUUCUUUUCCCCGAAUUUCUUAGCCGAGGUUAAGAGGGUAUGCUGCUAACGCGAGACUGCGACGGGCGGAUACCUUUUUAAUUUCAUCAAGCUUUCUGAGUUAGAAAUCGAGCCGCACGUCCCAUGCGCAUGUCCUUGUGCUUGCCAUUUUAUUUAAAAGCAAAGUGAUUUCUUUACUUUUACUUAGUCUUUUUAUUGGCCCAUGGCAAUUUAGGAUAAGCUUUUCAAAGUCCCAGUCUAUAUGUGAUGGGGAAAGACGAUAUCCAGUUCAUUCCUGCUCCCAAAGCGGAACUCUUCAGAUGGUGGGGUCAAUUGGAUCAGUUUGCCCAAGAGCGCGUGAAAGCCAAAAUCGGUCAUCUCCUAUCGUUGAUUCAAAUCACUGUUCGUCCCAAAGUCAUACAAGCCAUGGCACAUUUCUGGUGCCCAAAGACGACUACUUUUAUGUUUGGUGGGUUUGAGCUAACCCCAACUCUAGAAGAAUACAUCAUCAUCACUGGAAUGCCUCUUAAGAAAAAGCUUGUUAGGCCAUCGACAGGCGCCCUCCCGUGGCGCGGGUUAGCGCGACUUUUAGGAACUGAAAUCCAUGUCAUGAGACAAAUUCUUGAAAACAACAAUAAUACCUGCCCACUAGAAUUCAUGAAUGCCUGUUUUCAAAAUCAACCUAUGACCCAAAAAAGCAAGAUUUUUCUCCUGGCCUUUUUUGGGUUAAUCAUUUUCCCACAUCAAAGAAAUGUCAUAAGUCCUAAGAUGGCAUGGAUAGUUGAUCAGAUCUCAAGGGGGCAAAAUUAUGUCAACAUGAUUUUAACUGAAACAUUUUUGUCCUUUAAUCGUUUUAAAGAAAACACGGAAAAAAUCAUGCGGGUCUCUCCGGAAAUUUUACAAGUCUGGUUCUUUUCUCACCUAAGUGAAUUCCGAGACUUCAUGCGAUCGUCUGGAAUGAAUGAUUUCGAAAAUCCGUUACAAAAAUUUAUGGUUUUAGGACCAUACAUUCCCAAUCAAAGCUGUUUAAAUUGGAUAAACUUCCUAAGAGACCCGGCUCCUAAGGCAUUCCAAUGGUGUGCUGGUUGGUUCUAUGAAAAGAGAGCUCGCUUUGCUUUCAAGCGCCGCUAUCCAAUUCCGUUACUCGACCUCAUCGGUGCCAUUUCCUACUUCCCACAUAGGGUGGAACGACAGUAUUGAGCCCUUCAGGAGAUCCCGCCAUCUUUCAAGAAGAGGGUCCCUCGACUCCUUUUCACCCAUCGAAGUUUUAAAUACACGUUUGAGAUUGACAUUAUUGAGGAAGCAUGGAGCAGGUGCCAUCGCAAAAGGAUCGUGGUACCUGAAGGGCUUAAGGGAGAAGAAAAACCCACCACGCCUCCAUGUCCUACAUCUACAACCAUCGUAUCCUGACAAAAUGGAAGCCGUCAGUCCCUCACUCAAUCAGCGAGAGCAGCCAACACGAGCAAGCAGAGCUCAUGGAGAGGGAUUUGGGAAUGGACUGGAUACACACCUCAGAGCCAGUUCAAGGAAGCAGGCGUCCUCGCAAGAACAAGGCUUCCCGUCGCAUAUAAAUUGGCAAUCCUGUGCCCCUUAGUGUAAAUAGUGUGAAAGUUUUGUCCAAUUGUUUAGGGACUUUUGUUUAAUAUCUAGUAUUUCAUUCUGUCAUUUCAAUUUCAAGUUUUAGAUGUUAGAAGUAUGCGGUCUAUAAAAUCCUCUUUUGAUAAAUAAAAAAAGCAGUUAAACCAUUGCCAUGGGUAAAUCUUUGUUUACUUUUGUGCUCAUUCAUUGUUUUCGCAACAAGCAGGUAAUUAUGAAUCGCCGGCUACCAAUCGCCCGCGAAUGGCCUCAUGCAAUAGGGCCUGAUCAGAAUGAUGUAUAAAAUCGCCUUAUUAACAUUGAAGACGGCGUAGGACAGAUGUCCAUUGUCAUUCGACAACUCUCGAGACAAAUGAAAUCUACUCAAAAUGAGCCCAACACCGUCAUGACACCCGCAAAUUUGCUAGAAAAUAGCCAGUACCAUAGACAGUUUGAAAGGAUCAUGAAAAAGUUAAACCAACUGCGGGAGCAGAAUCCCAUAGACCUGUCCAAUUACGCCAGCAUUGAGAUCCUUGAAAAACUCAAAGCACUUGAAUGCGAAAGGUAUGCUAAUACCUCCCGCCCAGAGACCUACUUGCAGGCCUACCUGGUUCGAAGGAUGAUUCAAUCGUACCAAUCAAGCUUGACUGGCCCUGCCUUGCGAUGGUACAUUGUCAGGAAGAUUAGUCCCCUUAAAACCUGGAGGGAACUAAUUCAUGCUUUUCACCAAGAAUAUGAUAUUGACAUCAGCCCUGACAUAGCCUUGCCCUACGAAGAACUGAUGAUCGCGGAGCACGAGGAACCGUUAGUCGCUAAGAUAGGAGAAGAGCAUGUCAAUGAAGCCUUGCAUGAUAAAUGGGCAGCUGAACAACACCCUGUUACUGGAAAAUUUCCCACUGGGAAAGGCAAGGAGCCUUUGUACGAGAUCAAAGACACAAAGCCUGUUCAAGAUCGGGGCACGACUGGACAACUCCCAAAGCUUACUCCAAGAGCUAGGGUCCAAAGAAUACCAACCCCUAUCAACCUGGAAAGUGAAUCAGACAGUGAAACUUUAAUGUCUCUCACUUCCCUUGACAGAAUCGAGCUGGCAAAACGAAUGGCCCUACUCAAAAGAUCUGGACCAGGGGCCAAGAAAAGAAAGCCUAAGCAGAUCAAUUCAUUGUCUGCCGACGAGCCACCGCACCAAAGCUUCGAGCAUUCCCAAGAAUACAACUUUGAAGGCUACCAUCAUCUAGAGUACAACCCUGAAGACUUCCCAGCCCUAGAAUACAAUCCCAAGGACUUCCAGCAUUAUUUCGAUAAUGAAACUAACGAUUCAUCGUAUAACUGUUUCCUACUCUCACCCGGGGAUGGAGGCCCGUCAGAAGAGGAAGCAUACAUCUUUAUCCGCUACGAUCCUAAUGAAGUGCUAAGCUCGUCCUCUGACCAUGAGGAUAGCUUCAAUACUUCAUCUUCAUUCGGAAAUUUUGACCAAGAAGAAAGCAAUGGGAUAAUCUCGGUAGAGUCCAACUUCCCUGAAACAGAAAAAUUCACCACUACAACGAAUAUGCAGUGGGAAAAUCAGUGGCCUAACCAAGACAUACUAGGCUCGUCUUGCCCUCAUAGGAUCAUGACCCCCAUAGAAAUGUGGAUACCCAAUCUCCGCAAGUAUAAUGGCACGACUUGCCCCGUGGCCCACUUGCAGUACCUCCAUGCUGAAAUGAGUCAGUACUAUGGCCCGAAGUCAUUCACAACUCAGGCCUUCCAAGAAAGUCUUAUGGGGUCUGCAUUACAAUGGUUCAUCACAGCAGAUAUCUACCUCAUGAGAGAUUAGAAUGAGCUGUCUUAUGCAUUCCUGCUUCAGUAUCAAAGCCAGAUUGGGACUGAAGUGCCUUGUCAGAACUUGGUCCACUUCAAAAGAAGACCAAUGGAGGAUUUAUGAGCGUAUGCAAGGAGGUGGGAGGCUUUUAUGAUGCAAACUUACCCUCAACUGGCCGAAGAAGAAAUGAUAAAGUUGUUCAUAGGGACUUUGCCUCGCAAGCAUCGUUGUUGGUUGCAUGGGUUGCACUUCCAUAGCUUCAAUGAAGUGGUCCUCUCAGGCGAAUACUUCGAGUUUGCUGGAGGCGAGGAACUCAAAGGCACUUGAUUUCAGAACCAACACUAUCAAAGCACUCCUUUACACAGGAGUUUUCAUGGGCUUUACUUGUUUUUAUAAUUUCAUGUUUCUUAUCUUGUCUAGUGUGCUACUGUUGUAUUUUCCAUUCCAAGUACUCUAUUGUACAAUUCUAAUAUUUUGUUUUAAGAGCAUGAGGCGGUACUCCAAACCUGCCCGGUGAUGCUAUCCAACCAUGAAAAAUUAUCAUCCAAGAAGAAUACUAAGGGCUGGGCUUCCUCAUGCUUUCUUCCCCCCAAAGAUAUAUACUUUUGAAAACAAAAAAUGUUUUAUUGCCAAAAGCUUUUGUCAAAACAAGAUUAUUAAAUCAUGUUUGUCUUUCUAACUCACUCACUUUGUAUCUCAAAAUAUCAUCCCCAUCCCCCUUGACUUAGUGUGACAGAGGGCAUUUGAAGCUGGCGCAUCAUGUGAACUCACUGAAUUCAAUGACACUUUUCCAAGAAGACAGUGGGGCAAAUAAAAGAUCAUCCCACUUCAAAGAAGGUAAGUUUUAUUCUCUGAAUAUAAUUGUGGAAAUGAUGUCCUCUCUCUUCUAUUUAUAGGAAACGAAAGAUCAGGCGUAAUAGGUACAUGCAUACGGUUAAAAUCAAGCCGUCCCUAGGAGCUCUGUGCACUCCAUCUCGCUCUUGCCCAGCUCCUUCUCAAGCCGGAGCAGUAUCUUCUUCCCUCAACGUGCCCGAGCAACUAAAAGCUACAGUGAGAUUUCCGCCUUCGACAAGCCAAGAAGCGCAAAAAAUGAAUUUCUUCUCUUCCUUUGAAUUAACCACUGUCAACAGGGAGGAAAUUUAGACAGUUGAGACAGUCUCUAGCCCCUUAUUUCAAACGAUGACUAAGGGCCUAGAAACCUCACUUCGUGCUCCAGACGCAUGCUCUCCCAAGAAGUAAUUGCCAUCAGAGAAUUAGAGGUUUUGAUUGUCCACCUCAGAUUCCGUAGAAGCUUGAAGUACAUGACUUUGCUCAAUGCUACUAAUGGUAAUAUGGUCAAAGACAAAAUUCCACAGAAGGAAGGCGUUGCAAAUCAUCAAUCGUGUACACAGGGCCAUAAAUGAGGAGGGCCAAUCGAAAGAAAUGUUGAACUGUGUCAAAGACGAAGAGGCUGUCAUCAGUACAUCAGUAUACAGAAAUCCUUAGGAAUCAACAAAUACAAACUCUGGGGAAGGGUGACUUUGUAUCGUUUCCAAUACCCCCACCAUCUGAACUCACUUUUGACAUAUUUUCUCCUAUUGACAGGAAGCAUAGGAUUCAAGAAACAAGCUUAAUGGUUAAUUUGGGCAAAUCAAGUAACCCAUAUCGAUUUACCUAGCUCGGUAUGAAAGGACGUGUCGUCCAGGAGCCGGUUCGGUUAAAUGAAAAAAGAAGCGUCCUAUGGACACCGUCGGCACCUCUAGCCAAGUGGUAUCCGGGAAGAAGCAAAAUGGUCCGAAGUCGGGGGUUCGAAUCCCUGACGCGGCAGUUAGCCACUUGGUAAAAAAUUAAUAAAAAAAAAGUUUGCUUCUCUUGCGCUUGCAAAUUACGAGAAAGCAGGUGACCUAACGAAGCAAGGGACAUAGGACUUCGUGUCCCCAUCUCACUUCAGGUUCACCCAAUCGUCUGCAAACCAGUGAAGGGCAAAGUUGUAUCGAUUCCAGUUAUUCGACUCUUGAAAAAGUUCAUGACUAACACAUUCCCUCUUGUUUGUUCAGGAUCGCCUGACUGUCAAAAGCAAAGAUAACAAAUCAAUGAGAGGCAUGACAAACUCUCCCAAGCAAAAUGGCGUCUCAAGUAUUGCCAAAGCAAAUGACAGAGAUCCUUUAGGCCUCAACUCACAUUCGAUUUUGGCCAGACUAAUUGAUCUACUUGUACAUCUUCUCUUCUGCAGGGGCAAAAGCAGAGAUGCCCUAUUAAAUCCCCAACCCCGGCUGAUCCUUCAUGUGUCAUAUCCCUAACCAAUAGGGACAACUAUCGACACCCAUUUGCGAAUAACCCUUUUUGAUGUUCAAAAGUUAACAUAUUUGGAAACACCAUUAUGUUAACUCUUAAAGUUGUCAAUAGGGUCUUUUUCGAGUCAAAACCAUUCACUUGUUUUGAAGAGUUCAAACUCCAUCAUAUUCAAAAUGUUGCAUGUCAUUUCCAGAUGAAUUAUGCAUGAUGAUUUUGUCUAUUUAAGUCACUGAUUCCACUAAGGAUUAUCAUAAUAGACAACUAAGUGAAGAAUGCAAGAUUAAUUGAGCAUGCUGGAUGAGGCAUGUCAGAAUGAUGACAGGCAAGCCAUAUCCUACACACAGUCCCCCAUCUAUACACUUGUGAGUUGAGUGCAGAAGAUUCCAUGGCUGCAGGGUAAAGAGUUCUCUCGCGAAUGGUACNNNNNNNNNNNNNNNNNNNNNNNNNNNNNNNNNNNNNNNNNNNNNNNNNNNNNNNNNNNNNNNNNNNNNNNNNNNNNNNNNNNNNNNNNNNNNNNNNNNNAGAGGCAUUCCAUCGCUCACCCCAAUGAGCCCCAUACAUUGGUGAAACUUCUCUAUACCCCGUCAAGAACAACCCCUUGCACUAGGGCAUAUCAGAGGCGAAGCAGCAUCACAAGGUGAGAAGAGAGAUAGAAAUUUUCUUGCUCGCACUUGCUUCAAUCUUUGGGUGUCUUUAUUGCAUAUGAACACUCGCAUUAAUUUAAGUGCCCUAGAGUCAUGAAGAGCAAUUCUUUCUUUACUCACCUGUAUCUAUUGUAUAACUUAAUUGAGUUUGUAAUUUCACCAUCACAUGGAGGCAAAACAGAAGUUACUGUAAUUUAAGUAGCAUAGUCUAGAGUAGGGGUGUCAAAAAGGCCCAACCCGACCCGACCCGAACACGAAACAUGUAUUAUGCAUGUUUCGUGUUCGGGUCGUGUUUGGGUAACAAAUAUAAAACAAGCAAAACAAAUGUGUUUCGGGUUGGGUCAGGUUCGAACAUUGUUCGACCCGAAACAAGUUUUCUAAAGUCCAAACACGCCAAAACCCAAAAACACAAACGCUUUAGGCUUUAGGCUUUAGCCCCAAACACGAACAGUCGAACACACCUCAAGCAUUGAAGGCUGAAAAACAUACCUCGUCGGCUCCGCCUUCUUCUCCGACGAGUGCGCCUUCUCGUGGAGUCCGAUGCCGCCCUCUAAUCGACGCGCCUCCGCCUCGCCGUUGCCGUCGCCACCCCUCGCCUCCGCCUCACCAAUGCCAAAACCCUUGCCACCGCGUGCGGCCGACCAUCGUCGACAGCUUGGGGACUGGGUUCGCUCGGCGAUCAUGACGCUCGCGUCUCGCCUCGUUUCCAAGUCCCGGCAGGUGAGGAGCCCCCCCUCCAGAUCCACGCGCCUUCCCCCCUCUCGUCGCUCGUCAAAUGCCAUCUCAAAUUUUUGCUCGAUGGCGCUCAACAUUGGCCGUGGAGAUCGGGAAUUUUGCGUUUCGCAAAGUCGCCACUUUCCGCUCGGGCGAUUGUUGAUGAUUGUCUGUUGCUCUUCAUUGCGUGGCGAUUUAAUUCGGCGAUUGUGUUUCUGUGCGCUUGAAUUUUUAGAUUCUUGUAUUAAGGAAAUUGCUUGUCUGAUGCAUUUAUUUGUCUAUGAAAUUCUUUGGGUUCAGGUUAAAAGUUAAGCUGAAGCAGCUAGCUGAGCAGUAUGUGCUUUCUGAACAACAUCAUGAACAGGAGGUAAAGUUCUUUAAAAUUGAUUCAUGGGUCUUUCUUGUUCGAGCANNNNNNNNNNNNNNNNNNNNNNNNNNNNNNNNNNNNNNNNNNNNNNNNNNNNNNNNNNNNNNNNNNNNNNNNNNNNNNNNNNNNNNNNNNNNNNNNNNNNUACGUAGCAGUGUUUCAGUAUCUCAUAUCACCCUCGAUUCUGGGGCCGGAACAGUUUUGCUGUGAGAUUCUCAAUUAUGGAUUGACAAGUUCUGGAGAAUAGAGUAACGUAUAUUUGUUUUCCUGUGGAUCUUUUGGUCUCUUCAUAUGUGUGGAAGCAGCUUUGCUUGAUAUGUGCACUCAUUGUGGGAGGAUGGUGGCUGCUGGAAAAAUGUUCAAACGAUGGCCUUUUGAGUGGGAUAGCUCUAUUAUUUGUACUUCUAUGAUAUGUGGGUAUGCACGUAAUGGGCUGCCGGAUGAGGCAAUAUCACUAUUUUGCCAUUGUAAAGUAGAAGGGAGCAUAAUUCUUGCUGAAAUUGCAUCAAUUUCAAUACUUGGUGUUUGUGGAACUUUAGGGUCUGAUAGGAUGGGUGAGCAAAUUCACUGCCAUGUUCUUAAAUUUGGAUUAUUUUCAGAUUUAGAGGUAGCAAAUGCAUUGAUCGGUAUGUACUCAAAGUGUUGGAAUAUGGAUGCUGCUAAAAAAGUCUUUAACAUUAUUGGAAGCUUUGGACAUAAAAGGUUAUCUUUUCACUUGAAGAUCCCAUGUGGCCAAGAACGAGUCUUUGGUCUUUAGGGUGGAUUUGGCCACUACAGUGAGGUUCAAGAUCAUGGUUUGGAAGACCAAGAGGUAUAAGGUAAUAGUGGUGGGUGCUAAUGUGACUCUCAAUGAUCAGGCUGCUAAGAACACCGGCAAGAAGGACAAGGAUGUCAAACUAAAGUCUGGGGUGGGUAAGAAUUUAGGGGGUUGUUGCUUUUGGCAGGUGGGGACUUUUGUUGUUGCUUUAGCUUUGAUUUUGCUUGACUAAGGGCUGAGUUGGACUCUUCCUUGUGUGAGGAAGGUUGAGAAUGAGAUUAAUUUUAUGGUAUUCCUGGAUAGUGGGCAGUGCUGAUUAUUGUUUGCAUUAGAAAUGAGUGCUGGUUAGCAUUUGGAUUAGAAAUGAUAUAUUUAAUGGAAGAGGGAAAAAAAUCAUUGUUUUGGGAUGGUUUCGUUGAAUGAAGAUUUGAAUGAAUCAUGGUGUUUGGUUCUUAUGAUAUGUAGUCCUUAUCCUUCAUUACAUUGAGUUCUUCGGGGUUGUUCAGAUUCCUGGUCUUUGCAAACAGAGUGAAUUUUGUUUGCCUUCUUAAAAACUGGUAUAGUCCUACUAUGAAGCUCAUCUUUUAGAAGAACAAGAUGUGAUCAAAGAUAUCAUUCUGUCUGUGUUCUACUUUUAGCGAUAGUGGGAGCUGCUGCUCUGUAAUUUGAUCAGAGAGUAGUAGGCAGUAGGCACCGCCACAAAGAGGAACCUCUAUCUGUUGCUAUAUUAGCCAAAAGGAACAUUUGCUACUGUCAAUGAUACAAAGUCAUAAAAUCUUCCUAGUUGAAUAAUAGCUUGUUGCCUAUCAGGUUUUUAAUCAUCCUAGCAAAUUCUGAAGAAAGGAGAAGAUUGCAUAUUUUACUCUAGAAAGUAAAACCCUUUUCAGCAUAUUUACCGAGCUCACCAUACCUUAUGAAUUCGUGGGCAUUGGCAAGAAGUGCAGCUUUUCUUAUUUCCGAUUCUCUAGCAUCUUCUUUUCCAAUUGUAUGAAUGUAUUUCUUAAACAUUUACUUCUAUCCAACCCCAUUUUAACUUCUUUCUUUUCCCCACAUGCAUAUGCUUGUGCUCAUUUGUAGAAGAUACAUUCAUUUGAGGCCCGCCAAAAGAAAAAAGAGACAAAAAUCAAUCCAAUGCUAAAAAAUAAAGAGCCAAGCCGAGGCUUGCAAUGUUUCGUAAUAACGUAUAACAGUUGCGAUAAGUCACGAACAACAAUGAAGAUGAAUGCCCCCAUUCGACUUUCACCCGAGAAAAAAAAAAAAAGUGACAACCCGGAAACCCGACCCGACCCGACCUGAAUUUCCUAUGCCAGUUUAAUGUGUUUCGGGUCAGGUCGGGUCGGGUCAUAGUAUGUGACCCGUAUGUUUCGGGUCGGGUCGGGUAACAUCAAGACCCGACCCAACCUGACCCGUUUACACCCCUAGUCUAGAGCGCUAGCUGAAGAUGAAGACUCAAGAGUCUAACAACAGUGUCAUGAUUGAACUUGCCUAGGCUAGUUUCUCUAACGACAAGAAUGAAAAAACAGGGGCAUAAAAAAGCAGUGUACCUGGUAAAAGUAAGGUCAAUGCCCAUAAAUGAAGAACUAGAAUAAAAAUAGGGGCAUGAAAAAGCAGUGUGCCUAGUAAAAGCAAGGUCAAUGCCCCCCAGUCAAAAAUACAGCCAAGAAAAUGUUGUUGUUGUGGUCCACAGAACCUCCAUUUGACAGUGAGAAGAAAGACUGGUGACAAAUGCCAAGGCAAUCACCAGCUUUCAUCCUUUUACACAUAAAUCAAGCCUACGUUACAAUCCCAUUGUAAAAGUCUCUUCAGACUAGGGCACUUCAAUUAAUGUAGGAUUUCAUGUGUACGUAAGCAUCGCUCGAAGAAAUACGAGCAAGAUUACUCUAUCUCUUUUCGCAGGACUCUUGACUUGCAAACCCAGAGAUGAUCGUGCAGUACUUCGUUCAUGAGCCUUGACCUUGACGGUCUCAUUUGAUGAGCUAUUGACCAAGUCUUCAUCAUAAUUUCAACAAAGACCUCUCACAUUGGUAAAGUCGUACCACUUGCGAGAAUACUCAGACCCCUGCUGACAUGAUAACAGUGAGAAGUGUGGUCCUUAUAAAUCCUGCAUCAAUGGUCAGGAUAGCCUUUUCCAUGAGAAAGAGUGGAAAGUCCUUUCAGAUUGAAAGUCCCUCAUCUGGCAUGCUCAAGACAUCUACAUUUGGAAUGAAGGUUGUCUUUCAAAUUUUCCCCAGUGGAAUUCGGAUGAUGCCAAAACUAACAAAAUUGUCAUGCAUGAAUCCCAUUUAAACUCAUGAAUUUACUGCAUAUACAAUCAUGUGUGCAUAUUGUGCAAAUAGCAGACAUACACUCAGAGAUAAGAGAUAUUGCCAGGUAAGCAUAUCCAUGUCCCCAUUUGUCUUAAAGUACCUAUCACUGUCCAGGUACUCUCUUCUUGACACUCGACCUAUUCGAGUCAUCCCUUGAGUUUGGGUUCUUGCAAUUGUCUUAGUAUCCCAUUGUCUUUGAGUACCCACCACUUGCCGGGUACUCCCUCUUAACGACACUCAACCUGUCCGAGUUGUCCUCAGAGUAUUGAUACUUGCGACUGUCCAGGUAUCCCUUUAUUUUUAGGUACCUCCCACUAUCUAGGUACCCUCCUAUCAACACUCGACCUGUUCAAGUCAUCUUCGGAAUUUAGAUGCUUGAGACAAACCAAGUAUCCCAUCAUCCAUGAGUGUUCAUCACUGUCUAGGUACCCUCUUAUCGACACUUGACCUAUUCGAGUUGUCCCUCAGAGUAUUGAUACUUGUGACUAACCAAGUAUCCCUUUUAUCAUUGAAUACCUACUGCUAUUUAGGUAUCCCUAUUGUCUUUGAGUAUCAGCCACCGUUCGGAUACUCCCUUUCCCUGACACUCAACUUGUUCGAGUUGUCCCCAGAGUAUUGAUACUUGUGACUGACCAAGUAUCCAUUUAUCUUUGAAUACCUAAUGCUGUCUAGGUAUCUCCAUAUCAUCAAGUACCCACCGCCGUUCAGGUACUCCCUUUUCAUGACACUCAACUCUCUUGAGUUGUCCCCAAAUAAUAGUAUCUGUUCAAGCAUUCCACUGCUUUAUGUGCCUGUGCCUGCCCAAGUAUGUUUUCUUACACUUGGACCAGCCUGAGUGGUCCCAGAUCGUAUCAUCAAAUACUUGUGUUCAUCCAAGUAUUCCAGUACUUUGUACACCUGCGGCUACCCAGGUGUUCCAACCCUUUUGAGUGCCUACGGCCUGGAUGUGUCAUCCAGGAGCCAAUUCAGAGAAUAAUUGACUUAACAAAGCAAGGGACAUAGGACUUCGUGUCCCCAUCUCACUUCAGGUUCACCCAAUCAUCUGCAAACCAGUGAAGGGUAAAGUUGUAUUGCUUCCAGUUAAUUGACUCUUGAAAGAGUUCAUGACUAACACAUUCCCUCUUGUUUGUUGCAGGAUCACCUGACUGUCAAAAGCAAGGAUAACAAAUCAAUGAGAGGCAUGACAAACUCUCCCAAGAAAAAUGGCGUCUCAAGUAUUGCCAAAACAAAUGACAGAGAUCCUUCAGGCCUCAAUUCACCUUUAAUUUUGGCCCUGUUGAUUGAUCCAUUUUCAACUUCUCCUCUGCAAAAGGCAAGAGUAGAAAUUCCUGAUCAGAUCCCCAAUCCCUGGCUGAUCAUUCAUAUGUCAUGUCCCUAACCAAUAGGAGCAAUCUAUCGACACUCAUUUGUGAAUAACCCUUUGUAAAUAACUCUUUUGAUAUUCAAAUUUCAACACAUUUGUGAAUACCAUUUCACCAAGCAAACACCCUUAAAGCUGUUAAUAAGUUUUUCUUGAGUAAAAACCAUUCAUUUAUUUUGAAAGUACAAACUCUUUCGCAUCAUAUGCUGCAUGCCUUUUUCCAGGUGAUUUUUGCAUGAUGAUUUUGUCUGUCUAGAUCAUUGAUUUUGCUGAGGAUUAUUAGAAUAGACAGUUAAGUAGAGAAUACAAGAUUAAUUGAGUAUGCUGGAUGAGGCGCGUCAGAAUGAUGACAGGCAAGCUAUAUCCUACACACAGUCCCCCCAUCUAUACACUUGUGAGAUGAGUGCAGAAAAUUCCAUGACUGCAGGGUAAAGGGUUCUCUCGCGAAUGGUGCGAUAACCAAAAUAGUGAGAGGCAUUCUAUCGCUCACCCCAUUGAGCCCCAUACACUGGUGAAAUUUCUGUCCUACCCCUGUCAAGAACCACCCCACACUGGGACAGAUCACAGACGAAGCAGCAUCACAAGGUGAGAAGGGAGAUAGAAAUUUUCUUGCUUGCACUUGCAUCAAUCUUUAAGUGUCUUUAUUGCAUAUGAACGCUCACGUUAAUUUAAGUGCCCUGGAAUGACGAAGAGCAAUUAUUUCUCUAUGCACUUGUAUUCAUUGUACAACCCAAGUGAGUCUAUAAUUUUACCCUUACAUCAAGACAAAGCAAAAGUUAUUGCCAUAGCCUGAGCGCUAGCUGAAGAUGAAGACUCAAGAGUCUAACAAUAGUGUCAUGAUUGAACUUCCCUAGGCUAGUUCCUCUAACGACAAGAAUGAAAAACAGGGGUAUAAAAAAAAAAAAGCAGUGUACCUGGUAAAAGCAAGGUCAAUGCCCAUAAAUGAAAAACUGGAAUAAAAAUAUUGGCAUGAAAAAAAAAGUGUGCCUGGUAAAAGCAAGGCCAAUGUCCCCCAGUCAAAAAUACUGCUAAGAAAAAGUUGUUGUUGUGGUCCAUAGAACCUCCAUCUGACAAGAAAGACUAGUGACAAAUGCCAAGACAGUCACCAACUCUCACCCUCUUACAUGUGAGCCAAGUCUAUGUUACAUCCCCAUUGUAAAAGUCUCUUCAGACUAGGGGCACUUCAAUUAACGUAGGAUUUCAUAUGUGUAUAAGUAUCGCUCGAAGAAGUACGAGCAAGAUUACUCUAUCUCUUUUCGCAGGGUUCUUGACUUGUAAACUCGGAGAUGAUCGUGCAACAUUUUCGUCCAUCGGCUUUGGCCUUGACGGUCCCAUUUGAUGAACCGAUGACCAAGACUUCAUCAUAGUUUCAACAAAGAUCUCUCACAUUGGUAAAGUCGUACCGUUUGCGAGAAUACUUGGACCCCUGCUGACAUGAUGACAGUGAGAUAGUGUGGUCCUUAUAAAUCCUGCAUCAAUGGUUAGGAUAGCAUUUUCCAUGAGAGCGAGUGAAAAGUCCUUUCAGACUGAAAGUCCCUCAUCUGGCAUGCUCAAGACAUCUACAUUCUAAAUGAAGGUUGUCUUUCAAAAUCUUCCCCAGUGGAAUUCGGAUGAUGCAAAACUAACAAAAUUAUCACGCAUGAAUCUCAUUUGAACUCAUGAAUUUACAACACAUACAAUCAUGUAUGCAUACCGUGCAAAUAGCAGACAUACUCUCAAAGAUAAGAGAUAUUGCCAGGUAAGCAUAUCCCUAUCCACAUUUGUCUUAAGGUACCUACCACUGUCUAGGUACUCUCUUCUUGACACUCGACAUAUUCGAGUUGUCCCUUGAGGUACGAUGCUUGCAACUGUCUUAGCAUCCCAUUGUCUUUGAGUACCGGCCACCGUCCGGAUACUCCUUUUUCCUGACACUCGACCUAUUCGAGUUGUCCCCUGAGUAUUGAUACUUGUGACUUACCAAGUAUCCCCUUAUCGUUGAAUACCUACUGCUGUCUAGGUAUCCCUAUUGUCUUUGAGUACCGGUCACUGUUCGGAUACUCCCUUUCCCUGACACUCGACCUGUUCGAGUUGUCCCCAGAGUAUUGAUACUUGUGACUGACCAAGUAUCCAUUUAUCUUUGAAUACCUAAUGCUGUCUAGGUAUCUCCAUAUCAUCAAGUACCCACCGCCGUUCAAGUACUCCCUUUUCAUGACACUCAACUUGCCCGAGUUGUCCCCAAAUUAUAGCAAAUGUUCAAGCAUUCCAUUGCUUUGCUUGGCACCGCCGUCCAAGUAUGCUUUCUAGCACUUGGACCAGCCUGAGUGGUCCCAGAUCAUAUCAUUAAAUACUUGUGUACAUCCAAGUAUUCCAGUACCUUGUACACCUGCGGUUACCCAUGUGUUCCAACCCUUUUGAGUGCCUGCGGCCAUCUAGGUAAGCCUUGUGCUACACUCAAGUUUAUGUUGCCAGGAGAUGGGAGACCUUCACGAAUAUGCGAGGCACGCCCUCGAUAUUCCCAAUUACCAGGAGGUGAGAGACCUUCAUGAAUAUCCAAGGUACGUCCUCGAUAUUCCAACUACCAGCAGGUGAGAGACCUUCACGUAUAUGCAAGACCCAUCCUCGAUAUUUCCACACGAAUAUCUCAAGUACGUCAUCGAUAUUCCAUGUACCAAGAGUUUGUACCUGUGAUCGUCCAGGUACCCCUUCGAUACUUGUGAUCAUCCAGGUAUCCCCCAAGAGUUUGUACUUGUGAUCAUCCAAGUACCUCUUCGAUACUUGUGAUCAUCCAGGUAUCCCCCAAGAGUUUGUACCUGUGAUCGUCCAGGUACCCCUUCGAUACUUGUGAUCGGCCAGGUAUCCCCCAAGAGUUUGUACCUGUGAUCGUCUAGGUACCCCUUCGAUACUUGCAAACGUCCAAGUAUCCUCUAAGAGUUCGCACUUGUGAUCAUCCAAGUACCCGUCCAUUGCCUAUGAUUAGCCAAAUGCCCCUUUUUGAUGCCGGCAAAGGCCCAAAUAUCCUUCAGGUUAGUACUUGUGAAUAUCCAGGUACUCAUUGAUAUGCCUGUGAAUGUCCAGGUAUCUUCCAGAAUCGAUGCCUUGAGAAAGGUCGGCGCAUCCUCCCGAGAAAGGUCGGGUUCCAACUGGUGUCUUCAACAGAAGUCAGACACUUAACAAAUCGAUGCCCUGAGAAAGGUUGGCCUAUCCUCCCGAGAAAGGUCGGGUUCCAACUGGUGUCUUCGACAGAAGUCAGACACCCUACAAAUCGAUGCCCUGAGAAAGGUCGGCACAUCUCCCGAUAAAGGUCGGGUACCAACUGGUAUCUUCGACAGAAGUCAAACACCCCACAAAUCGAUGCCCUGAGAAAGGUCGGCGCAUCCUCCCGAGAAAGGUCGGGUUCCAACUAGUGUCUUCGACAGAAGUUAGACACCCCACAAAUCGAUGCCCUGAGAAAGGUUGGCGCAUCUCCCGAGAAAGGUCGAGUACCAACUGGUGCCUUCGAUAGAAGUCAGACCCCCAACAAAUAGAUGCCCUGAGAAAGGUCGACGCAUUUCCCGUCAAGGCGAUCGAAGAAAGGUUCGGGUCCUAGACAAACAACUUAUUGCUCUAACAAGCAACCGAAGAAAGGUUCGGGUCCUAGACAAACCAACUUAUUGCUCUAACAAGCGACCGAAGAAAAGUUCAGGUCCUGGAAAAGCAAUCUCCUCAUGCAGCAGGUAAAAUGACGCCUUGAUACUUGCCAAAGCUCGGGGUUCACACCCUAUCUCACUCAGGUAAGUAACUACAGGUAUCUUCUUAUUUGUCUUAGUAUGUGUAAUGUUAUAUUGCUCAUUUUCUGCAAAGGACACUAGGUCUUAAAUAAGAUAUAAUCUACUGCAUAUGAACAGACAAAAUUUAGGUAUAAGUUUGUCUUUGAAUGCAACCUCUGCGAACUCACCUUCAAAGAGGGGCAGCUAUUGAUACAUAAAUUUUGAUUGGGUUUUUAAAUUAGGCCUUAGUCUCUUUUAAUUUUUGUUUUUCCUUCGGAUAAUAAUAAAUAAUAAAAACAACAAAAAAAUAGUAAAAAUAAAAGAAAGCAAAAGCCCAGCCCCUCCACUCUUUUUCUCUCUCUUGCGCGGGCCCAGGGCCCAGCCCUUGUUUUCUUGAGUUUUGGCCCCCCCCCCUCUCUUCUUCUUCCUCCUGUCUUCUUCCUCCUCGGUCACCUGCAUCUCACGCGCGGUGGCCAGCGACGUGCGCGAAGGACGGCCUACAGCCGAGGGGAGUAGGCCGACGUCAGCCGGAGAGGAUAAGAUCUCAAGCGCCAUCAAUGCCGAGAACGCUUCGUUGGACAGGUGGCGGAUGGGACACCGGUUCGGCCACGGGGGUCCGGUCGACAAGCAAAAAGACCGGCGGCCGAGCCUCUCCGUCGACGGGACCUCCUCGCCUAUAAAUAGCGGAGCAUUUCCGUCGUCGAGGGAGACACGAGCGAGCUCCGAGAUCUUCCCACUGAGAGACUUCAGGGGAGGAAUCAAAGAGCAAGCGAGAGAGAACUCGGGUCGCAAGCUCGACUGACCUCCCACUGAGAGACUUCGGGGGAGGCCGCCGGCGAGCGAGUCCGAGGAGGUUAGAUCCGGCCGGUGGAGGCUCGGAUCUGGCCGGAGUGAGAGAGAACCAAGGCUGAGGGGGCUGCUGGAGAGAAGAGGAGUCGGAGAAAGCCGUUGUGAGCCGAGCACCAGUUGCGAAUCGCGAGAUCCCGACGCCAGUUGCUGUUGCUGUCUCCCCCACGAGCCGCUUCUCCUCCGAAGCUCGAAGAACCAGUGCAAAAUCGAAGUUUCCCCGGUCGUGCUAGUCUGUCGUCGACGCCGCAACACCGCCCCGAUGCCGUCCAGGUUUAAGGGCCGCCGCCAUCGCCACAAGCCGUGCCGCCGUGCCGUGCCAAAGCCGAGAGCAGGUGACGAUGGAGCCCUGCCUACGCCGUCCAUCCAAAGCUCUAAUGGCCGUCGCAUUUGCCAUUCACUGUCGUCGCCGUAGCCACCGUAGCCGCCGUCACCGCCGUCGCCGCCGUCGCCGUCGUAAUACUCUCGUUUCCCCCCCUUCGGCGCCGCGGAUUCGCAAACCCUAGGGUUUGCGAUUUCCGGGUGACGAAGCGGAUCCGGGUUUGGAAAACGGGUAGGGAUUCCGUGAUUUAAGCGGCGACGGAAGCCGGGUCGGGGUUCGGGUCGGAUCCGGGUAGGGUUUUCGCCAGGAAGCCGGGUCGUAAAGCCGGGUCGUCGGGCCGGGCCGGGUGUCCCCGAACGCCCGGCCACGACGCCAUUUCAAAUAUAAAAAAAGAGGAAAAAAACUUAGUCAGGCCUGCGUCGCGGGCCCGUCCGCGUUUUGGGUCGUCGACCCCGGUCGGACACAACCCGUGGAUCCGACCCGGGUCGGUUUUUAUUUUAAAUAAUAUUUUAAAUAAACAAAUAAUAAAUAAAUAAUUUAUUUUCCAAAAAAACAAAAAUAUCCAAAAAAUAUUUUAUUUUCCAAAAAUAUUAAAAAAUGUUUUAAUUUCCAAAAAAUUGAAAAAUAGUAAAAAAAAAAGGAUAAAAAUAUUUAAUUUUCGAAAAAUAAAACAAUCAAAAAUAUUUCAUAUUUUCCAAAAAAAUGACAAAAAUCCAAAAAAAAACCAAAAAUUCAUGAAAAAGCCAAAAAGACUUGUAUUUUUCCAAAAAUACCAAAAAAAUCCCAAAAAAUCCCUUUUGUGUCCAAAAAAUUAGAAAUAGACUCAAAAAAUGUUUUUCCUCCCAAAAAUGCAUGGAAAAUCCCUCAAAAAUCCAAAAAAGCCUUAGGGUUUAAACAAGAUUAGGUACCGAAAGGGCAUUAGUGAUUAACUAGUGUAAUCAAGUCCCCGAUCCUAAUUUCUCUGGUUACGCAGGAGUGAGUAUUUCUCGCGAUACUUCACUUGGGUUUCUAAUCAACCCACCCCAAAUCGAUUAGUGGCGACUCCAUUUUAAAAAUUGAUUUACAGGUUAAAAACUCAGACUAUUAAAGUCAUGAAUUGGUGGACUUGGGAGAGUUCGGGCAUAACUAAUUUCAGCCGAACAAUUAGCCUCCUUAGGCGCUCGUACCCGAUUGCGGGCGCCGAAAAAAAAGAGGUCGCGACAACUGCAUUUCUACCAAAGAUUUUAUAUUGACUCGUUUGAGCUAUGGACUGGACAUGAACCUAACUUGAACCAUCUUAAGGUUUGGAGUGUCAUGCAAAAAUUAUGUUAUAGAAUCCAACAUUGAGUAAGUUGAAUUGUAGAAACACUCAAAGUUAUUUCGUAUCUUACCCAAGUCAUUUGAAGGGAUAUCGGUUUUAUAAUCCCAAUGGAGGUACAAAAAUUAUGGGAUCACAAAUAGCGAAGUUUCUAGAAUUCAACGUAGCUGCAGAUGAUAGCUGCUUUUAGACUAUUAAAGAUAAUAGUACGGUGGAGACCACUGUGUAUUUGUCUUUACCUAUACAAAUAAUUAUGGAGUCUUCUACACGACAGACUAAGCUUGUGAGGUUCAGGAUACUAUUAUUGAUACAAUUCCUAAUGAAGUUUGUCAAGCCUCUCAUGUGCAAAAUGAAAUUAUUGCAAUAGCUCCACUUAAAAGAUCUAUUAGUGAAAAGUGUUCAGUUAUACCACUGGACUAUAUAAUAUUUAUGUGAGAACAUGACUAUAAUAUACGUUGCAUGGUUGAUCUAGUGACUUACAUAUAAAUGUUGUUUCUUAUCCUCAAUCAAAUCUGUGAUUAGAUGCGAUGAAAGACGAGAUACAAUCUAUAAAACAUGAUAGUACUUGGUAGCCUAUUGAAUUGGUUGAAGGUCACAAGCCCAUCUAUUGUAAAUGGGUUUUAUGAGACUAAAAAUAAAUUUUAAAAGAAAUAUUGAGAAGCUUAAAUUCAAGCUAGUAGAGAAAGGUUUCACUUAGAGAAAAUGAGUAGAUUAUGAACGAAUUUUUCUCAGCCUUUUCCAAAAACUAUUUCAGAGUGAAUAUGGUAUUAACAUAAAGUUACAUUAGAUGAAUGUUAAAACUCUAUUUCUCAAUAGAUACAUUGAUAAAGAAGUCUAUAUUGUAUAACUCAAAAGUUUUACGAAAGAUGAUUUAGGUAAGUUUGUGUGUAAACUGAAAAGCCUUAUACAUGGUAUUAUGUAAGUUUGUCGAUAAUGAUACUUGAACUUUUAUAGCAUUGUCACUUCAUUCAAUUUUGUUGAAAAUAAAGUAAAUCGAUGUAUAUACUAUAAGGUUAGUGGGAGAAAAUUUAGUUUUCUCACAUUUUAUAUAAACAAUAUCUUGCUUGUGAGUAAUGACAUUGGAUUACUACAUAAGACCAAGCAGAUGUUGUUAAGGAAUUUUAACUUGAAAAACCUUAGUGAGCUUUCUUUUGUCCUUAGUAUUGAGAUUCACAAGAAUUUUUCUUUCCGUGUGUUAGAUUUAUCUCAUAUUGCAUAUGUUGAUCGUAUUUUAGAAAGACUCAAUAUACAACAUUAUGAACUAGAAAUUACUGGUAAUAAAGUGAGUCAUUGCAGUAUCCUCAUUCAGAUUUUAGGAAAACCCAAAUGAAGCAUACAUCUUAUGCUAGUGCACUUAGAAGUAUCAUGUAUGCUCAAGUUUACACUAGGCUAGAUAUUGUUUUUGCGACAAAACUUCUAGGCAUAUAUCAAUCAAGUCCAUGACAUUAUCAUUGAAUUACUGCCAAUAAGGUUUUGAGAUACUGUUGACACCUAAUAUUUUAGAAAGUAAUAAAUAAAAUAAAACAUUUGGUUUUGAAAAUCUUUUUUGUUGAAAAUAUAUCCUCAUUUCAAAAUUAAAAAAAAAAAUAAUUGUUGUGUGAUUUUGGAGCCAUUUUUUUUGUUAAGAGGUUGAGUGAAUAUCUUACUUGCAAAAACAACUUUGAGUUUUCCUCUAUAAAUAAAGGAUGCAAGGCUUCAAAACUCGGGGGUGGGGUCGAGGAAGAGAAAAUAGAAAAGGAGAAAAGGAGAGCUUCGUUUCUUUAGAGAGGAAAAGAGAAAAAAAAAAAAGUAAAAAAAAGAUGCAGAAAGUGCAGAGAGAGACAGAAGGAGGAGACAUGAAAAUGACGUGAGAGAGAGAGAGAGAGGUCAGAGCAGAAAAAAAAUGAUGAACAACUGUUCAUCUUCCUCGUGAGUUCCCGUUCGGCAUCCCUGCUGCCCACUUCAUCCGCGCCGCCGAGCUGCCGCUGCCGCUCCUGCGCCCCACACCGUUGCCGUUCCACCGGUCAUCCGAAGUUCUGCCUUGCUAGUGUUGAUCCACGAAGACGUUGUUUCCUCUGCCCUGUCCGCGAUCUACUAGUCACCACCGGUCCGAGAUCUGCCAUUCUGCCGUGCCUCUGCCUCGACGUGCCCUUGACGUUGUUGUCCACGCCCCACUGGUUGCCACCCAUGCAACUGAGUCGUCGCUCCGCUCGCUCGAUUGUCUGCGUGUUCACCGUUGCUAUUGCUACCUCCGUCUUCGAUGCCAAUAGUCGCAACCCAGCCUCUUUCGCUUGCUGCUGUGUUCGCAGUGCUCCACCUGCAGCCUAUUCGCCGUCGCAGCUCCCCUCUGUCGAACCACCACCAUGCUUCCGGGAGCUCUCCCCUGGUGCUCUGCCUCAACCUGAAUCAGUCCCAGUAGUCCGAUGCCCCUACACCCGACAUUGCUGCUCCUCUGCUCACUACCGCACGCCCGAACAGAGCCACUUGUUGCCUCCCCUGUUUUGCUGCAGGUCCGGUUACUGCCCAAACCUCACCGGAGCUCCGACAGACAGCCCCUGUUCCGAACGACGACCCAUCACCGAACCACCAUUGCAGCUCGGCCACCAUUGCUUCCUCGCCAUUCCUCAAGUCAACCGUGAGUUAGACUAGGUAAAUUUUUAGAUAUUCGGUUUCAUAGUUUUAUUUUAUUUUUAUUUUAUUCUAACUUGAUUUGUUUUAAUUUAUUCUAACUUGAUUUGUUUUAAUUUAUUCUAACUUGAUUUGUUUUAAUUUAUUCUAACUUGAUUUGUUUUAAUUUAUUUUUAUCAUUAUCCGAUUAGGAAAUUUUUCAUAUUAAGUCAUAAUAAUAAAAAAUAUUGAGCCGCGAGACGUCAGAUUAGAUUUUUGAUUAUUUCGACUUUUCAUGGCAAAUUCAUGAAUUGCUUUGCAUCAUUGAGAUAAUAUGUCAUUGAUUUACAUUGAUAAAUUUUCAAUAGGACAUAUAUUUUGAUGUGUUAUGUUAUUUGCUCUCACAUAUCAUGCAUCAUAUGUCAUAUCUAGGAUUUAGGUAUUUAGGUCCAUAAACAUUUCAUGUUUAAAUCAACGCAUUUUAAUUUUUAAAAUUCAUAUAAAAUUAGGAUAAUUUUCCUUUAAUAAAACCAAAACAAAAAAGAACAAAAAAAAUGUUAUUUAGGUUAUAUAGAUUUCAUAAUGUGCACACCACAUUUUGCGCUUUAAUUAGUGGGUCAUAGGUUAAUGUUUUAAUGUUCCCGUUGUAUAGUUUUUAAUAUAAAAAAAAAAAAGCCAAAGAUUAGUAUUGCAUCAUUAUGUUGUUUUUCUUAAUAAGAAUUAUUAAGUCAUUUAAAAAAAAGAAAACACAAAGGUUAUUUAUUUGGUUAGUUAAUAGGUUAGUUCAUAAUUAAUCCCAUUCUAUGUCAUCAUUGUUAGUGUAGGUUGCAUAUGUGUAAUAAAAAAUCAUUAAAAAAAUCAUAAAAAGAACAUGCAUAUAGAAUUACCACGUCAUACAUCCCAUAUCAUGUAGCACAUGCAUAUUUAGGAUUAUGUAAAUUAGAUUGCACACAUAUUGUACUGAUUCGGAUCAUGUCAUAUAAAUUGCAUCUCACAUGUCAUUAAAGUAAAACUCAUGCAUAUCAAAUUUAAAUUAAGAUUGCAUGUAAUUAACAUUUUUUUUAAAGAAAAAUAAAAAAUAGGUGUCAUUUCAUUUAGAAAUCAUGUUUAGGGCAUGCAUUUUUAUUAGCAUUGCUGUAAGUUUUUUUUUAGAGAGUGGACCUUAAUGAAGUUGGAGUUUAUAAUUUCUUACAAUAUAUCACUUCGGUUGAUUGAAUGUUAUUUUAUUGAUUGUGCACCCGUAUGACCACCAUUUACAUGUUAAUAGCUUAGAUUAAAAUUAAUUAAGACUACGUGCAAAAUAUUUUUGAAAUUAAAAUGAAAAGGUGCCGAAAGGGCGUUAGAUUAAUCUAGUGUAACCAUGUCCCCAGACUUAUUGAAUCUCCAGUUCGCAAAAGUAAGGUAUUCUCCCAUACUUUACUUGGAUUUCUAAUCAACCCUAAUUGGUUAGUGGCAGCUCCAAAUUGAGUAUAAUUGCAUGUUUAAGGGGUUAAUUUCUUAGUAUCAAGUCGCGAUUGGUAAGACUUGGGAGAGUUCGUGCCAAGUCUUUAGACUUAGUAAUCCAUUAGCCUUCUUUGAGUAAUUCACCCUCGGGAAGGUCGCGACAGAUACUGAAAAUGACAAGAAAACUAUAUGCUAAUAAACAUGUUUAGGAUCUAGAGCUAGUAAGAUAUUGCAAUGUAGAUUUUAUGUAAGGAUGACAAGAAGUCGACAACAAAAAUAUAUCUUUAUAUCAGCAGAAGGUGUAGUAUUAUGACAAAGUAAUAAAUAUGAAUCUAUGUUAUCCUCUACCAUAUAAACGAAAUAUGUAGGAUGCUUUGAGUAAUUCACCCUCAGAAAGGUCGCGAUAGAUACUGAAAAUGACAAGAAAACUAUAUGUUGAUAAACAUGUUUAUGAUCUAGAGCUAAUAAGAUAUUGAAAUGUAGAUUUUAUGUAAGGAUGACAAAAAGUUGACAACAAAAAUAUAUCUUUAUAUCAGCAAAAGGUGUAGUAUUAUGACAAAGCAAUAAAUAGAAAUAUAUGUUAUCCUCUACCAUAUAAACGAAAUUUGUAGGAUGCUUUUUAGUUGUUACUCAGGAUAUUUAACUUCGGAACCUCAUUAAGGAGUUGACCAUUUUUGAUUUUAUGAAUAGACUCAUACGGUUAUAUCGAGACAAUAACUCUUUGGUGUUGUUUAUCAAUAACAAUAAAGGUCUUGAGGGGUCUAGAUAUGUGGUAAUCAUAUUUUUUUACUAUAAAGAAACGAUACAGAAUGAUGACACUACAAUUUAGCAUAUUUUCACAUAUGAUGUGGUUAUAGACCCACUAAUUAAGGACUUUCGCCCUUGUGUACUUGAAUGACACAUUAUGAACAUGGGCUGAGAAGUCUCAUUGGAUGUUGCUAUUUAGUGGGAGUUGUCUUGAUUUCGCUCUAAUAAAGCUUAUAUAUAUUACACAUUCAAUAAAGUGUUCAUGAAUGUGUGGUCACCAUAUUAAGUUGAUUAUAUGUAAUGGAAAUCUAAAGGUAUUAUGUAAGCAUUGAGUGAAGGCUUGGGGCAUCUGGUUAUCAGCCUUGAGCAUAUGUCUUGAUUACACAUAAAUAAAGGUUAAUCAUAAAGAUAAGAUAUAUGUGAGUUCAUUAAAACCAUAAAGAUAUUCUUUAGUGGCACAUCCGAUUUUUUGUGACACUUAAGGUAAGAGAAUAGUGACCGACAAAGGAGAUGACACAUAAGGUAUUAUUCUUUAUGAGAUGUUAUUCGUUUGCCAUACAACCAUAUUGAAUCCAUAUCAAUAAAGUUAAAAGCACUCGUGAUCAUAGAAAGCUCUGUGUGAAUACAUGCAAUUACCACUAUGAUUCGGUGUAUGAGACAUUAUGAGAUAGGAUUGACUAUUAAGAAUUAUCACUAAAACAACAUAAAAGUGCGCACAUACAAUACAAUCUCAAGUAAUAUAGCCCAAGUGAGGGUAUGUAAGAGCUUUCUUAAUAUGGGCUUCAUUAGUUGAGAUUAUAAUUUACCGUUUUACAAAGUUGGUCUAAUAAGGUAAGGCAUAAGGUUUCUUAAUAGUCGAAUAUGGGUCUAGCUUGUGUGAGCCAAAUUGAGCCCAGCCCAUCAUAAGAGGGUUUGUCCAAAACUCUAUAAAUAGCGGUAAGGUCCGUCUUCUAACUCUCAUUUUUCCAUGAACACUCUCUCACCUCACAUAAGGAAGUCAUGAGGGGCAGUCUCAUCACACUAGAAUUUGAAGGCCAUAAAGGAGAAGGACCUAAGCAUCGAAUCGUCGCCAAUCCGCAUAAAUAACGAUGGAUUCCAAAUCAGGUACGCAAAUCUUCAUCUACUUCUCAACAUGUUCAAGUUUCUACGUACGUCGAUCCUAGGAUGCUGCUUCGACAGCCAACAACAUAUGUACUGCCCCUUGGCAUCGAGGUGCUCGAAGAGGAAGAUGUGUGCUCUCACCACAUCAUCCACAUGAACAGGAGAUAUUUUGAGGAGAAAAGGGUAGUCAUUCUCAUUCCCCGAUAAUUUCAAAUGGGAUUUAUUGCAGCCAAAUUAAGAUUUUAGAAAGGGUGCGUCAUCGAAAUGAACAUGAACAUAUGCAUCGAUGGAUAAUGAUAGUCUUGUCUUCCUUUGGCUUAUAUUUGAUAUUUAACAAAGAAACGUUGUUAAAUUAUGGAAUUUCCACAUCCAUUUGGUGACCAAAUCAACCAAACUAUAAAAUAUUAAUAUUCUAAGGAUAUUUGGUGUGGAAAUCGGUUGAUGCACCGAUAUUUGCAGCCUAUAAAUAGGGGCUAGUGCUCCAUGUGCGUGUGAGUUGAGUGGUAGAGUGUAGUAGAGUGAGAGGAAGAGGGUGACGUGAGAAUGUUCUGUGUGGGGUCCGUGUGUGGCGUGAGCAGAGAGACGAGAAGAAAGUAGAGAGGUCCAACAAGUCGAGUGAAGAAGAGAUUAGAGAGAAAAGAGAAUAGUCCGUCCGUGAGAGUGAGAAAAAAUUGUGGGUCUUUGUACUCGAGUAUUGUAGGAGCUAAUUUGCACUGAGUAUGGCACGUGAUGUGAAAAAAUAUUGUAAUAAUAAAACUCAUAUUUUGUGAGUUAUAUUUAUGACACGUUUCCGCAAAACUCAACGUGUACAUCAUGGGUCUUCCUUCUUUUAUUGAUUAAGCUUCUGGAGCAUUGCAUCCGUCACUCCUUGUCGGACUCAUUGACAAUGUGAUGGCGUGCACAUGCCGAAAAAUCGUACAUGGGCGGUGUUUUAAAACGUUGGGAAAAGGUUUCAUAAUCAAUUUGCAUCCUCUCUUUUCAACAAUGACUUCAAAUUGCAUCUGUCAUCCAGUGCUAUUUUUGUCCAAUCUGUCUACCAAAUUAUCAUUUCCUUUCCGGAAUAUAACAAAAGACGGGGAAGCUUGGACACAUGUGAAAAUCGAGCAGGAGACAAGCCCACAAAAUGAACCUGAUACAUAUGAUUAAUGUGAUUCGGCCGGGUAUGCCUACUCCACAAUGAAAGAUGGACAAGAUGUUCAACUAUGAUCAACAAUAGUAGAUCAAUUUCGUGGUCACGAUUACAUGAGUAUAAAAAACUGUGAGGCAGAUCAAUUUUCACGGGUCGUGCUAGAUACAUGGUACACGUUUCCUCAACGUGUUUCUCUGUUUUUGUCUGCAUCUUUCUUAGAGGAUUAUAUGAUACGAACCCAGGACAGAUCAGUAACAGAAAUAGGUCUCACUGGAUGGCAUGAUGCCAGUUUAUUACUUUGAACAUUACUAUGUUCGGCCUGAGGUACCGAAUUCUAUCAUAUGCAUGGAACAGAGAUUGAUCUAGAGAUAGCCCUUUUCCUUGCAGCACUGGAUCGCUCCAUCAAACAUGUCCUCGAUCCCGUACUUAUACUCAAAACCGGCAUUCAAAAGCUUCCUUGACGAAAGGCUGGCAAACCUAGGGCCUUUCACUUCCUUCAAGGCCCUGAAAGGAUUUGAAAAACUCUGCUCUCAGUUCAAGAACAGCAAUAGUAGAUCUGUUAACAUCAUGAAAUGGGAUACAACAGGACUUACUCCGGUGAGGGUAUCUGAAACUCCGGAUAUCUUUCCGACAGAAAUUUGGACAUCUCUUCGAUGGUCAUCGUGGCCGAGGAACAAAUGUACCGGCCCUUGGCGUCAGGGUGCUCAAAGAGGAAGAUGUGCGCUCUCACAACAUCGUCCACAUGCACGAGAGAGAUUCUGAGGAAAAUACUGUACUCGUUCUCGUUCCCUGAUAAUUUCAGAUGGGAUUUUCCGCAGUCAAACUAAGACUUAAAAGAAGUGUGUAUCAUUGAAAUAAACAUGAAGAUAUGGGUGGCACGGCUUAUAGUCUUGUCUUCCUUUGUCAUACAUUUGACGUUGAACAGAGAAACGUUGUCAAAAUUGUGGAAAUUAUGCAUCUCUUUGGCGACCAAAUCAAUCAAACUGGUCAUGAAUUUUACUAUAGUAUGUAAGGUGUAUACCGGCAAGUUAUUGCAAAAUCUAUCUAUCAUAUUGACCAAUAUUACUUAUACCCCCAAUUAUGUGAGUCUCACAUGAUCAACGGUCUAGAUAUAUUUCACAUACCUAAUACCAAAGCCAGCGAAUUCCGGACAGAUGAGGCAAACUUGGGACAAAUGAACGGUCCGUGGACGAAUGAGGGAACAACCGUCACCACUUCCAACCCGUGCCUCUCUCCAAACUCGAGAACUGCCUUCUCGGUCAAUGUCUUUGAGAUUGCAUACGAAGAUAGAAACGUCGUGAUUCCUCUUAUGGAGUCAACAUCGCUCCAAGAGUCCUCGUCCAUUAUAUCGGCGCCGGAGUUGUUAAGUUGAACAGCUGACGCACUCGAGGUGUACACAACACGCUUCACGGUCUUGGAGUUCAGGCAGGCCCUCAGGAUGCCUAACGCUCCGUCAAUGCAUCUUUUGGUGACGACUGGCUCUGGCUCUCUGUCCUCAAAAUCCACCGGGGUGGCGACGUGGAAGACUCCGACACAGCCAUCAAUGGCUGGGCCGAAACUCUCGGGGUCGCCCAGGUCGGCUGUGAGGAUUUGGAGCCUUUCCGAUGCUCCUGGCAGAUUUUUCAAGAAGCUGAUGUCUCUAGUGCCAUCUGAUCAGUACAAAUUCGUCAAUCGUGUCCCAAUUAAAAGCUCAAAUAUUUAAUAGGAUAUGGAUAUGUCCUGUUAAUAAGAGAAGCCGAUCUAGAGAAAAUCAGCUGAUACAACAUGGCUCAUUCAGGAAAUAAUCUGAAUACACCAUAAAACUUGUCAAUAUGGACUGCAAGGAAAGCUGAUUCAAGAGAGCGUGAGAGAGUUCAUACGUAGAACAAGAGCAAGCGAUUUUGUCUUAGCCACCUAGGCAUAUGGAACAUGUUCAUAUCUGAUCAUAUAAGAGAAAUCUAAUCAUUAUAAACCAAGUCUAUCGCCAUUAAUUUAACCAGUAUUUAGUCAAUCUUAUGCUUUCUCAUGCAUGAAAAUCGGCAUAUGAUCUAUGUCCGACUGUAAUUCCGAUCAAAAUUUUUCCUCGAUGCCCGAACCGGACAGAGUAUAAAAAAUUUCUGCAAUAACUAACGCCCAAACCCUUUCCUCCUUUAUUUCUCCACAAACACAGACCAUUUGAAACGCAUACGUAUUGUGCGUGCACAAACAGAUCAGAACAUGUAUGGACUGCACAGAACAUCGGUCAAAAGAACUUUACACUGGACCGGAACUCAUGCCAAUUUCCAUGUUCAGGCAGGAAAAAAGAAGAAAGACUUACCCGGGUCGGGUCUGACAGUGGUCCGGACCGAGUAACCAUGUUCGAGGAGCCUCAUGACGAGCCAUGAAGCUAUGAAGCCAGUACCGCCCGUCACGCACACCGUGCCUCUGUUCCCCUCCAUAGCUUGGAGAAGUGAAGAGCUUCAAGUUUCAGGAGGCACCAAACUUUUUCGAGUGACCUUGAUGUUUUGGCCAGUAGAGUCUGCUUGCGUCUUCCUUACAAAGGACGCCACGUUGAAAAGGAGGGUGUAACCAAUUCAUUAAGCUUUCCCUUGAAGAGUUAACAAAGAUGAUAAUGUCCGAUUUGAAUGAUAACUGCCCGGUUUACUUUUUUACGAUAUGUCGCCCCCGUAGCCUAACACCGAAGUGUCGGAUGAAAAGAAAUCAUUCUACAUGAGGUAAAAGAAUGCCUAAGACACUAGCUAUUCAGAUAUUCGCUCACGUAACUUGAACUUUUGACCAUGUUAAAGACAAGGCGGCUUCUCUACCACUAGGCUACCAGACCUGGUGGUACAACACCACGCCUUAUAUGCGAAUUUAUCUAUUCUACAUUUUUUGGGUGGUCAACCUAAUAUAAGCCGCAUUAUAUAUAUCAUUUAUAACCUAAAUUUUCAUUUAAAUCAAAUAAAUAACCAAGUCCAUCACUUUGAUUAUGAAUUUAUCUAAAUCUAUUGUAUAAUGUCAAUUCAAUCCUAAAUUUUUCAAUUUGGUCAAUUUAAUUCUAAAUCUUUUGACGAUUUACCGAUAUAAUUCUUUUAGCUAAAUUUGGUUGGAAAUAACUAAUGUGGAGGCCAAUUGUCCUACGUUGCACAGUUAGGAUUGUCUUAUAUUGCACAGCCGACACUAAAGUUGACGAUUUUUGCAAUCUUUAAAAAAUAUAUAUUUUAUUGCAUUCAUUUUAAUUCUAUUAGUACCUGGAAAUAUUUAUAACAUAAGUUGUAUGCCCUAGCUCAUCCUGAAGGAAGAACUUCUCAUUCAAAAAAACUUUUAGCUCCUUUUGGGUCAAAUGUUUGAUCUUGUUAUUUUUUUAACUUCCCGAUCAUCCUUUCCUUUUCUUUCUUUUCUUCUUUUUUCCUGUUUUUCUCCUACUGUUUAAGGCCUUUGCGAUGGCUACGAAGGUCACUGAGGGCUCGUGGGACCUUGCUGACCACAAUGAGGGUGUCACAGUCCUCGCCUAAGUCUAGAUGAGGUGAGGGCAGGUGUGCCAUACUAUAGUUCCUUGCGGUCAACCUUUCCCCCGCUUGGAUUGGCUUAAACCCUUACCCAACAACCUAUGCUGGUCAGUUGAGACCCUAGACCGACGAAGGAAAAUAGGAAAAAAAGAAUAAAUGGAAAAAAAAGACAAAAAUUCAGAAAAAAAAAUUACAAGAAAAAUUAUAAAAAUCAUCUACUCACAUAAAAUAUCUAAAAUCCAAGUCAGUGAUUUCAAGCUAAAAUUAAUCAGAAAAAAUAUAUUAAUAGAUUGUAAAAAUAUUUAGGAUAAAAUUAAUCAUAUUGAAAUAUUUAAAAUUGAAUUCAUCAUCGUAUAAUAAUUUUAAGAUAAUUUAGACAAUUUUUUUGAAAUCGAUAUACAUACUUGGCAUUCUAGAAAAGGACGACCAUCUUGCUUUUCAACGGGUAGGGAAGGAUGUCUUCCAUUGUCCUGCUCAAACUAUUGGUGGGGGUUGGCGCUCCGUGUCAAUCCAACACAAGAGGGGCCCCACAUACUGAAGACCCUAUUACGUGUCAACAUUCUAUCAAAUUUGGACUUUUUGUUAAAGAAGUUGCACUUACUAUUAUUGCCCGACAUGUGUCAGUCAUUCACACGGUCUUUUCCUCUUACGAUAAAACUUUUGAAAACUGUGUCGCCCUGACUGGCAGCCCCCAAUAAUUCACACGUAAAGAAAUGAUUACUGGCAAUCUUUUUUCACAAUAAGCUAUUAUUUUGAUAAUAAUCCAAAGAUUAUAAUCUCAGUAAAGUCCAUUUAUGCAUGCGAUCUUUGUCGACAUUCGCUGGUGGCGUAGCGUUCACGAAAACCCAUUGAAGCAUUGGGGUCGCUAUCCUCCGACCACCUACCCACGCACGAGGAUCAUGAUUAGCGGAUCCGACUCCAGCCACUAUCAAUAAAGCAGAGUGGCCAGGUCAAGAUCCGGAUCUAUCCUCGACGGGCUCAGUGCCGGGGCCUGGGUAGAGCCGUUUAGCACACGGUUCCGAGAGAGGAGGAACUCUGCGAAGUACAUAAUCGACUUCAUCGUGCUCGACUCAUGUAAGACAUCGAUGAUAGACCAUGCAAGUUCAUUAUACAACGUGCAUACCGUGCAUAAGUACAUACAUAAGUAUCCCUAGAUCAGAAAAAAGCCGAGAUCUGAACGAGUUGGGAGCACCUUCAAACGUAACCGUUUUCUCUGCAGCUCCGAAUAGCUCCAUCGAGCAUGUCCUCCGGGCGAUGCUUGAACUCGAAGCCAAUGUCCAAGAGCUUCCUCGACGAAAGGCGCGGCAUCGAAUAACCUCUUAUUUCCUUGAGAGCGCUGAAAAUUUAAAAUGCCCUCUUCGUUAGUGCCAAACCAAUGGUAUUGCACAACCUUUUUAAGUACUUAGAAUUUUCGAAAUAUACAAACAUUGGCAAUUCAUAGAUUUGCAUACAAUUUCGACUUCGAAAUAAAGAAAACGUAUAUUCGAGAAUUCUUGAAGAGGAACAUGAGAACUGAAAAACCUUACCUCGGCGAUGGCACCGGAAGUUCCGGGAACCUCUGGGAGAGAAGCUCGGCCGUCUCUUCGAGGGUGAUCACGUCGGAAGAGCAGAUGAACCUGCCUUUGGCCGGAAGGUGUUCGAAGAGGUAGAUAUGCGCCCUCGCCACAUCGUCUGGAUGUACCACCGAUGUCUUGGAUAAACACACAUUCUUAUAUGGGUUUGCGUCUCCUGCAAUAUAUUAAGGUGCAUUAAAACCCGAAUUUCGCAUUUUAACUCGAAUGAAUAAUCAAAAUUCGUGCUCGACACUAGGCCGAGGCUCUUUCACCAUCCGACUAAUUCCUAUCAACGCGACGAUUCCUCAUCACCCGCACCGAGAAAUGAUCUAGGAGUGGCCCGAAGAGAAUGCGCAAGUGUAAUGCAAUUCGAUUGUCAGGUCCAUACCCAAGACCAUGGCCAGCGCUAUGCCAAUUGAGGCCGGAAGCUUGGGGCAAAGGAAUGGGCCAAUCAUGAAGGAAGGAACCACCACCACCACAUCCAGCCCCAUCCUCGCCCCGGCAUCGAGAACCGCCUUCUCCGCCAGCGUCUUGGAGACCAUGUAUGGCCCCUCAGCCGUCUUCAGUCUCCUGACCAUUUCGACGUCAGUCCAGAAGCCCUCGUCCAUGGUCUCUGCGCUGGUAGCGUUCCCGUGCACGGCGGCGGAGCUCGACGUGUACACCACCCGCCUCACCGUUCCAGCGCUCGAGCAUGCCUUCAGGAUGCCGACCGCCCCGCGGACAGCUCUCUCCGUGAGGACGGCCUCUGGCUCCCGGCCGUGGAAGUCGAUGGUGGCGGCCAUGUGGAAGACGCCGACGCAGCCCUCGAUGGCCGGGGCGAAGCUCUCGGGGUCGCUGAGAUCGGCGUGGAAGAUCUGGAGGCUUUGCGGCCCUUUCGCGAGGUUUGUCAGGAAGCUGAUGUCCCUCUUGCGAUCUGCAUGCCAGGGAAACACAGAAUUCACUGAAAGAAGCAAGCAAACAAUCUCGAACACAUCCGUGUACCCAAGCCGGAUCGAGUCACGAUCCGCCGUGCUUACCCGGGUCAGGACGGACGGUGGCCCGGACCGAGUAACCCUUCUCGAGGAGCCUCAUGAUCGUCCAUGUAGCCAAGUAUCCAGUCCCGCCCGUUACACACACCAUGCCUUUAUCGCUCUCCAUGAACGACUCUCUCUCUCUCUCUCUCUCUCUCUCUCUCUUUCCCAAGCUAGCUUGUGAUGGAAAUGGUGCUUUUUGAUCUCUCUUUCCCAAGCUAGACUGUGAUGGAAAUGGUGCUUUUUGAUGCUACUGGAGAGAGGCGGCCGACAGUAGCCAGGAAAGAAUGUUAGAUAUUUCGUCGCAUAUGUAACAGGGUUUGUGGACAUUCAUUAUGAGAUCCUGAAGUAACUCGCUUAAGAGUGUUCGCUUUGGCCAAUUCCGUGUCGAGCUUCGUGGUUGUGUCCUUUAACAAACGGGGAAGCAAUUUCUCAGAGGAGGUUACCUAUCCUGGAAGUGCCUUAAUUUGGGCUGGCUUAACUUUGAAGUUUCAAAGCAAAUCUUAACAUUAUAUCAAAAAACGCCUCUGUAAGUUAGUUUUUACACGUCUCAAAAUAGCUUUCUCCUUCAUUCAAUACAUAAUUUGAUUCAUUCAUGCACCAUUCACUAUCCUAGAAGCCUAUCAUGAGCCAUUCAUUGUCUAGGCCUUCUAGCCCCAGCAACUACUCCCCACUCUUAUCGGACCGAGUUGUUAUGUUUAUAAUGUAGGAUCCAUUAUCAUUAUUAUUAGAAGAUUUAAAUUUACAUAUAGAGAAGAUUGGCAUUCGCUCUGACGGAUGAUGACCACUCCCGUUCCCCUUCCCCUUCCGCAUACGCAACCAUAUGGAAAGCAAAGGACCCCCUUGAAUAGUUUGCAAGCGAUAGAAUCGAAAAAUCGGAGCCUUUACUUAGUCUAGAAUCGCCGUGAAGACCGGAAAUUUGAAGACCGAGCACUAGUACACCAGUCAUUCCGGCACGGUCAAAAUACUAAUUCCUAGAUGAACGGAUUUCAACUUCAUGCACGGUCGGAUCAUAACAUAACAGUGUUGUGAAUAUGUUUCAAAUUUGAGUCCGUAAUGAAAUCGGACUAAUGAGCAUACGUGAACUUGACCACGUGCAAGUCAGAGUAGCGCAUGUGAANNNNNNNNNNNNNNNNNNNNNNNNNNNNNNNNNNNNNNNNNNNNNNNNNNNNNNNNNNNNNNNNNNNNNNNNNNNNNNNNNNNNNNNNNNNNNNNNNNNNNNNNNNNNNNNNNNNNNNNNNNNNNNNNNNNNNNNNNNNNNNNNNNNNNNNNNNNNNNNNNNNNNNNNNNNNNNNNNNNNNNNNNNNNNNNNNNNNNNNNNNNNNNNNNNNNNNNNNNNNNNNNNNNNNNNNNNNNNNNNNNNNNNNNNNNNNNNNNNNNNNNNNNNNNNNNNNNNNNNNNNNNNNNNNNNNNNNNNNNNNNNNNNNNNNNNNNNNNNNNNNNNNNNNNNNNNNNNNNNNNNNNNNNNNNNNNNNNNNNNNNNNNNNNNNNNNNNNNNNNNNNNNNNNNNNNNNNNNNNNNNNNNNNNNNNNNNNNNNNNNNNNNNNNNNNNNNNNNNNNNNNNNNNNNNNNNNNNNNNNNNNNNNNNNNNNNNNNNNNNNNNNNNNNNNNNNNNNNNNNNNNNNNNNNNNNNNNNNNNNNNNNNNNNNNNNNNNNNNNNNNNNNNNNNNNNNNNNNNNNNNNNNNNNNNNNNNNNNNNNNNNNNNNNNNNNNNNNNNNNNNNNNNNNNNNNNNNNNNNNNNNNNNNNNNNNNNNNNNNNNNNNNNNNNNNNNNNNNNNNNNNNNNNNNNNNNNNNNNNNNNNNNNNNNNNNNNNNNNNNNNNNNNNNNNNNNNNNNNNNNNNNNNNNNNNNNNNNNNNNNNNNNNNNNNNNNNNNNNNNNNNNNNNNNNNNNNNNNNNNNNNNNNNNNNNNNNNNNNNNNNNNNNNNNNNNNNNNNNNNNNNNNNNNNNNNNNNNNNNNNNNNNNNNNNNNNNNNNNNNNNNNNNNNNNNNNNNNNNNNNNNNNNNNNNNNNNNNNNNNNNNNNNNNNNNNNNNNNNNNNNNNNNNNNNNNNNNNNNNNNNNNNNNNNNNNNNNNNNNNNNNNNNNNNNNNNNNNNNNNNNNNNNNNNNNNNNNNNNNNNNNNNNNNNNNNNNNNNNNNNNNNNNNNNNNNNNNNNNNNNNNNNNNNNNNNNNNNNNNNNNNNNNNNNNNNNNNNNNNNNNNNNNNNNNNNNNNNNNNNNNNNNNNNNNNNNNNNNNNNNNNNNNNNNNNNNNNNNNNNNNNNNNNNNNNNNNNNNNNNNNNNNNNNNNNNNNNNNNNNNNNNNNNNNNNNNNNNNNNNNNNNNNNNNNNNNNNNNNNNNNNNNNNNNNNNNNNNNNNNNNNNNNNNNNNNNNNNNNNNNNNNNNNNNNNNNNNNNNNNNNNNNNNNNNNNNNNNNNNNNNNNNNNNNNNNNNNNNNNNNNNNNNNNNNNNNAUUUUAUAUUUUGGAUCCUCUUUUCUUUUUUCUUUUUUCUUUUUUCUGUGUAGCAUGGCCCAGGGUGGCAUGUAACAAAUGAAAUGAACUAAGUUUUCAUGGAUUGAAGUUCAGUGAGGUCAAACAAAAGAAUUUUUGGGAGUCAUAUUAGCUACUUAACUCUCUUUUAGCAUGACCUAAGAUUAUAAACAUCUCUAUUAAAUUUGCGCAAUUUGUGUAGUCUGAAAUAAACAAGGAGAAAAAUUCUUCUCGCCCCAUUUUUUUGUCUAUCCUCUAACCGAUUAUUGCAGCUUACCCAUUGCCCCAUGCUUCCUCCACGACCCCCCAAGACCAUCUCGACAGCUACCGUUUCCGAUAGCUUCCUCCGCCUCGAUAAAAUAUUCGAUGGUUCCAUAGCGUUUACAUCAACUGCUGGUCAUGUUGCGAGUAUUUUUUACUCACGUCCGCUUAUAAAUUGACUCGUGUUUGUUGAUGUGGAUGGGAAAAGACAAUUAAAAUAUGUUUCUACUUCCACCGACCAUGAAAGUCGGACGAGCCGCCUCGCGUUUGUUUUUUCUUUUCGCCUUUUGAGGUCAUGGAUGAGCAAGGCAUGUGGUCAUGAUUGGGAGCGUCACCGGCCAGCCAUGAUAGCAGCAACAUCAAUAUGGACGAGCAAGGCUAGAGAGUAAUGUCCAUGCUCGACCAUUUUGUUUGGCCAGAUCCGGUCAGCUCUGUCAUCCCGGACCUUGGACAAGUCGCCGUCGCCAAGGUCGCAGAUCCGGACCAUCAACAAGUUCCAUCCUUCUACCUUGGUUGGGAAGACGGAACCAAGGGGCGAGUUCCUCCUUCUCCAUGGCGAUGGAGCUCUUAAUGGGCCUUCGAGAUCACUAGCCCUUCGAGUUGGAUGGCACCAUCCCGUCGCACCAUCUGCGCCCCUUAGCGGGCGUCGCUCGUGAUCAGCCUAAGCCACUCGCCCCGCCGUGUUGCUUGUCCAGAUAUGGCUUCGCCCAUGGCCACAAACCUUGCUCAGCAUAGCUCACGAGGCGGCUCAUCCACAGACUGCAGCUCGUCCAUGGCUACGAACCCUUGAUGACGAACUCGGAAUUCCAGCGGCCGUGAUCAGUAAACAAGCGCAAGCCUGGAUGGCCGGACAGCGCUCUGUGGAUGGAGGAGGAAGAGAGGAGUCAACGUCCACAUGUCAACCUAAAAUCGGACCCGUCAGCAGCUAUUGUGGCGCUACGAAAUCACUUCUUAGUUUCUCCACCUUUGUCCAACAUGCGAUAGAUCUCUCUCUCUCUCUCUCUCUCUCUCUCUCUCUCUCUCUCUCUCUCUCUCUCUCUCUCUCUCUCNNNNNNNNNNNNNNNNNNNNNNNNNNNNNNNNNNNNNNNNNNNNNNNNNNNNNNNNNNNNNNNNNNNNNNNNNNNNNNNNNNNNNNNNNNNNNNNNNNNNNNNNNNNNNNNNNNNNNNNNNNNNNNNNNNNNNNNNNNNNNNNNNNNNNNNNNNNNNNNNNNNNNNNNNNNNNNNNNNNNNNNNNNNNNNNNNNNNNNNNNNNNNNNNNNNNNNNNNNNNNNNNNNNNNNNNNNNNNNNNNNNNNNNNNNNNNNCCGGACUGAGAAUCAAGAUAAUAUUUAGUUUACAUUUUAUUUAUUUUUUAAGAUAAUAUAAUAAAAAAGUAUAUUUAGUUAGUCAUGUUCGUUUGAUCCAGUUUUCCCUUGGAAUUAGAAACCAAACCGCCACUCCUAGAAAUUGAACCAAAUCAGUCAAUCUAGAUGAUUCCCAAUUAGGGCGGUCCAUUUUGCACACCUCUAUCUCACACCGUCGAGAUCUAGAUGAGAGCAAUGUCCAUUUGUCUUGUUGGCAAAAUCUAAUGCCUCCAUCCCUUGGACGAGUGACAAUGCGCACAGAGAGAGAGAGAGAGAGAGAGAGAGAGAGAGAGAGAGAGAGAGAGAGAGAGACUGUUGCGUGGAGAGGGAGAGAAGGGCAUCGACAGUUGCUCAAAGAAGAGGGGAGGGAGAAAGGCAAAGUCAGCUAAAGUUUGGCGAAACCAGCGGCGAAAUAAUACUGUUAAUCCAUCAAUUUUGACCAAGUUAUCGCUUUUAAUUUGUUUAUUAUGAUUCUUCAAUUACUUUUCAUGUUCAAUAUAAUUUCUUAAACUUUUGAAUUUUUAAUCUAAUUUCUCAACUUCCUUAUAAAGUCAAAUCAAUCAUUUAGUACGAUUCAGAAGUUUUUGUAAGCGAGUUUUUUUUAAUAUCUUUUCAUUUCAGUAGUUUUUCUCCAAAAAAAAUUAAUAAUAUUACAUUACUUUGUGCCUUUUUGGUUUUUAUGAAUAUCACGAUAACUCAAUCAAAAUCUUUAUAAUUGUGAAGUGUAGCUAAUAAUCUCUAAAAUAGUAAAAUUAGAAUCCCAUUUGAAGCUGUGUUACAUUGGUAUUCCUAUUAUGUUAUUUAUAUAUGCUUUCAUAUUGACAUCUAUAAAUGAAAUUGAUUUAUCUGUAGAUAUAUGUAUUUGUAUUAAUCUAAAUCGUGUUCUUUAAUAAACAAAUAAGGAACAAGAUAUAAGACACUGAAAAUUUUAUUAAUUUGAAAAAUGAGGAACCUUGUUCUUAAAAGUGAUUGACUACGAAGUAGCGAUACCAUCCGGGAACCUUUGUAUCAUGUGAACACUUUGACACAUGUCUAACAUUUAGUCAACAGGUAUCAAAAUCAAUUUUCCCGAUACCCUUUGACACGUGAGUGGAAUUCUAACAUCUGUGUUCCGAAUUAUAAUACGCAGUUCUAACAAGCAUGUGAUCAAUUUUUUAAAUUUUUAAUAAAUGAUGGGUCAAAAUAUAAAUAUGUAAAAAAAAAUUAAGAAAAACAUAAUCUUUGUUGUAAAAUAUUGCGUUGCGAAUAUAUAAUAGAGAAGAGAUUGAGAAUAGAAAGCAAGUGAACACUAGAGAUAAUAGAGAAAGCCAGAUAUUUCACUAUAUUGUAAUCGUUGUUCUAUUGUACAUCAAAACUAAACUCCUAUUUAUAAGAGAACAAGAAUGUACUUAUUAUUAAUAUCAAUGUAUCGAAUGAUACAUGUACUGGAUAAGGAAAAUGAACAUUCAUUGUAUAGGAAGAUGUACUUAGAAUAUAUGAUACAAAUGUAUCAUAAUAAGUACAUUAGAUAAGAUGAAUAUAAUGAAUAUUCAUUCAUGUAUUUUAUAACACUUUCCCUUGAAUAUUCAUUGUAUUUAUUAUGAAUGUGCGUCGAAUGAUACUGCCUCAUUAAAAACCUUAGGCCGGAAAAACCCAGUGAGACAAAAACUAGACAAAAGGGAAAAAGAGUGCAGAGCAUAAACUUUAUGAUCUCUCCCUUUUAUGGAUGCAUUAAUUGUCUUAUUAAAAACUUUAAGUCGGAAAAACCCUGUGGGAAAAAAUUGGACAAAAAGAAAAAAGAGUGUAAUGCAUAUAUAGCCACUGCAGCGGCUAAUCAAUCUUGCAUCUUGUGAACUUGCCGCAUAUCAAUGCUGCAAUGCAUAAUUCAUAAUAUCUCCCCCUCAAUUGAGCCAUGUAACCACUGCUGGGGCUAAUCAAUCUUGCAUCUUGUGAACUCGCCACAUACCAACGCCAUAUACUAAUUUCUCAAAACUUGAUGUUGGCAAUGAUUGGGUAAAAAGAUCUGCAAGAUUAUUUAUAGAUAGAAUCUUUUUAACAUCAAUUUGUCGACUUUCUUGAAGUUCAUGAGUAUAAAAAAAUUUCGGCAAGAUAUGCUUGGUCCUAUCACCUUUGAUAUAUCCUCCCCUGACUUGUGCAACACAAGCAGCAUUAUCUUCAUAAAUUAUAGUGGGAGAAUUUGUAACCGAUAUUAAGCAACAAGAAUUAUGAAUAUGUGUUAUAACGGAUCUUAACCAAACACACUCUCUUCCAGCUUCAUAUAAAGCAAUAAUCUCAGAGUGGUUAGAAGAUAUAGCUACUAGCGAUUACUUCGUAGAAUGCCAAGAAAUAGCAGUGUCGUUAUAACAAAAUAAAUACCCGGUUUGAGAGCGAGCCUUAUGUGAAUCAGAUUUAUACCCAGUAUCAACAUAUCCAACUAAACCAGAGUUAGUGGAAUCCUUGAAAUAAUAUAAUCCCAAAUCUAUGGUUCCUCGGAGAUGACGGAAAAUAUGUUUAACUCCAUUCCAAUGUCUCUGAGUUGGCUCGGAACUAAAAUGUCCCAAUAAAUUUACCGCAAAAGCAAAAUCCGGUCUUAUACAUUGUGCCAAGUACAUCAAAGCCCCAAUUGCAUUGAAAUAUGGUACUUCGGGACCAAGUAUCUCUUCAUCAAAUUCUCUAGGACGAAAUGGGUCCUUUUGGGGAUCUAGAGACCUGACAACCAUAGGGGUGCUCAAUGGGUGAGCUUUGUCCAUGUUGAAACGUUUAAGCAAUCUUUCAAUGUAUGCUGAUUGAUGGACAAUUAUUCCAUUUGCUUUAUGAUCAAGCUCUAGACCAAGACAAAGUUUGGUUUUACCCAAAUCUUUAACUUCAAACUCCAUUUUCAAAUAUUCAGCAGUUUCAGCUAACUCUUCUGGAGUUCCAAUUAAAUUUAUAUCGUCGACAUAAACUGCUAUAAUAGCAAAUCCAGUUUCUAAUUUCUUAAUGAACACGCAUGAGUAGAUAGGAUCAUUCUUGUACCUUUCCUUAAUUAGGUACUCACUUAGGCGUUGAUACCACAUGCGACCGGAUUGCUUUAACCUACAAAGGAUCUUUGCAAUUUUAUUGAGAAUAAAUUGCGGGGAGUGCAUGCUUCAGACAUUUUGAAUCCCUCGGGAAUUUUCAUAUAAAUAUCAUAGUCUAAUGAAUCAUAUAAAUAUGCCGUCACAACGUCCAUAAGACGCAUUUCCAAUCUUUCAAAGAUUGCUAGGCUAAUGAGAAAACGAAAUAUAAUCAUAUCCAUCACAGGUGAAUAUGUCUCAUUAUAAUUAAUCCUAGGUCUCUAGGAGAAUCCUUGGGCAACGAGUCGGGUUUUAUACCUGACAACCUCGUUUUUCUCAUUUCGUUUUCGGAUAAAUACUCAUUUAUAUCCAACGGGCUUUACAUUAUCAGGGAUACGAGUUAUAAGUCCAAAAACAUCUCGUUUAGUUAGGAAGCUAAUUCAGCUUUAAUUCAUUCCUCUCACUUAGGCCAAUCUUGCCUUUGACGACAUUCAAUAAUAGAUUGCGGCUCACAAUCAUCAUCCAUAAUUUUAUGAGCAACUGAGAAUGCAAAAGCAUCAUCAAUGAUGAUUUCAUUUCGAUCCCAAAUUUCAUUACAAUAUGUAAUGGAAUUCUCGGUAUUCCCAGAGCUAGUGUUCCUUUCAUGGGUUUGCGCCUCUUCAGGGGCAAUAAACUCUUUUGGAGUAAGCACAACGCCAGGCUCUUCUAAAGCGGAUUCCUAAUUCUUUCCCUUUCGUUUUCGAGAGAUAAUAUCUUUUGAUCCUAUCGUAUACCACACUUCAAGUGCGCAAGUAAACAUGCAAAGGUGACAUUGCACGUAGAUAAUAAGCAAAUAUGGGACCAUCUACAGGAUGCGUCCACUAGUACCAUAAAAUAUCGAAAUGGUCCAUUUUGUGGUUGUAUUAGUCCACAAAUAUCACCAUGAAUUCUUUGCAAGAAUAAAGGAGAUUCAAGAUUAACCUUUGUUAUAGAAGGUUUGAUAAUGAGAUUUCCUUGUGAGCAAGCCUCACAAUUAUAAUCUUUGGAUAGCAAUAUCUUUAUAUCCUUUAAAGGGUGCCAUUUUGUAUUUUGAAUUAUUAUACCCAUCAUUAAAGCGCCAGGAUGACCAAGGUGAUCAUGCCACAGUCCAAACUGAUCAAGACUUACCAAUCUCCAGGAUGUGGUGGCGUAAGUUUUAACAGCCUUAAUCAUGACACAAUACAAACCCAUAGAAGAAGCUUCUAACUUCUCAUUGAUGGUCUUCAGGCCCAUCUUAUAAGAGGAAAUGCCAAUAUAUUUCUUAUAUAUUUCAUAAACAGUCUCAAUACGGUACCCGUUACGGCGUACAUCUUUAAAACUGAGCAAAUUCCUUUUGGAUCUAAUGCUUAGAAAUGCAUUCUCAAUAUGCAGGAUGGUGCCAUUUGGCAAAAUAAUUAUGGCAUUCCCAAAACCAUCAAUAAUUGGAACAGAACCUGAUAUUGUAUGGAUUUGUUUCUUACGCAAUGUCAUACUCGAGAAAAAGUGUCUACUACAAAAUAUAGUAUGUGUUGUUGCAUUAUCAAACAAACAAACGUCUUUUUUUUUUCUCGGUAUUUUCCAUUUGCAUUUAUAUUGACAACUUCAGGUGUCAAGUAUCAUAAAAGUUGCAUAUUAAUUAUAUAGUCGAAUAAAAUUUCAAAAAUAAAUAUUAUAUAAAGUUCAUAAGCAUUUCAUAACCAUAUUAAAUAACAAUAAAAAGUAAUACAUUUAAAGCGAAACAACAUAAAAUUCGAAAUUCAAAUUAUCAUCCACCACUCUGAUGCCUCAUCAAAGUAAUCAGAGGUCCUCAAAGAAAUCAUAGACAUCCAAUGAUGCAUUUGUUACUUCAGGAGCAAAAGGAGUCCCACCAACGGAGAUAUUGUUGGCCUCAACAAUGGUUAUGGUUAGGAUUGAUUUCAAUGGCAUGAGAUUCACCACGCUUGCCCGUAUUCUUUAAAGAUGCCUGGUAUAGAUCAACAAAAUGUUUUGGCGUACAACAGUUACGUGACCAGUGCCCAGUCAUGCCACGGCGAUGAUAAAUACUUUCAUUAAUCAUAUUUUUUGGCUUCUUUUCUUUGCCAUGAUUCAGGUCAAAGUUUGAUUUCCUAGGGCGGUUAAAUUUCUUGCCAUCCCUUCUAGGAUUAUGUUCUUGCCUGCGCUUAUAGCCCUUCAAAUGGCCAGUAUUUUUCUCAAAGUUAGCAUGUGCUUCAGGCAAUGCUUUUGAGCUAGCAGGUCUAAGAUCAUGAUUUUUUAGCAGCAAUUCAUUAAUUUGCUCGGCAGUAAGAAACACAAAAAUUAAUUCAGAGUAUGUGGCAAACUGACGCUGCCGAUAUUGCUGUUGCAAUACAAUAUUUAAAGCAUGGAAGGUGGAGAAAGUUUUCUCUAACAAUUCCGCAUCAGCGAGUUUGAUACCGCAUAACUCAAGCUGAGAAACGAUAUCAAAUAAAGCAGAAUUAUAGUCAGACACUAAUUUAAAAUCUUACAGUCUAAGAUUUUGCAAUCAUAUUGUGCUCGAGGGAGGAUAACAGUUUUGAUAUGAUCAUACCUAUCCUUCAACCUCCUCCACAAGAUAUGAGGAUCUCGAAUAGAUAAAUAUUGAGUUUGCAGACUCUCAUGCAAAUGACGGCGAAUAAAAAUCCGCGCAUUUGCUUUAUCCUUUUCAUUUGAGGUUCCAUCCUCUGUAAUUGUAUUAGCGAGACCUUGCCAUUGGAGGUGCAUUUCCAUGUCAAGGCACCAUGAUAAAUAAUUCUUUCCACUCACUUCCAGGAUGUGGAAUUUGGGAUUUUCAAUAUUUGUCAUAAUCCUUGCAAAAAUAAAUCCUUAAAUUAAUUAAAAGAAUUUCCAAAUAUCCACCGCUAUUUCAGGAGCAGAAUAAUACUUUUAGAUUUGAAAUUUGGCUUUGGGCAAAUAAAAAUAAAGAAUUGAUAGAAGAAGAUGAAGUAUAAGUUGAUUAAUAAAAAUAACGUGUUGUAAAAUAUUGCGUUGCGAAUAUAUAAUAGAGAAGAUAUUGAAAAAAGAAAGCAAGUGAACACUAGAGAUAGUAGAGAAAGUCAGAUAUUUCACUGUAUUGUAAUCGUUGUUCUAUUGUACAUCAAAACUAAACUCCUAUUAUAAGAGAACAAGAAUGUACUUAUCAUUAAUAUCAAUGUAUCGAAUGAUAUAUGUACUGAAUAGGGGAGAUAAACAUUCAUUGUAUAGGGAGAUGUACUUAGAAUAUAUGAUAUAAAUGUAUCGUAAUAAGUAUAUUAGAUAAGAUGAAUAUAAUGUAUAUUCAUUCGUGUAUUUCAUUCAUUCAUGUAUUUUCUAACAAUCUUCUCUUUUUUUCUCUUUUCUUAUAAGUCUCACUUCCCGUGACACGCAAUUCAUCCUUAAUGUUUAUUUUUUCUUUUCUCUUCCGACACGCUCUGACACGUAAGUCUCGGACGUGAAUUGCUAUUUUUUUUCCCUCCAAAUUUUAUGCAUUAUUAGAAUAUAAUUGAAUUUGUCAAAUUGAAAUAAUGAAUAAUAUUAACAAAUUACGAAUUAACGUUAUUGGUGUAAAUUCAUUCUACACUCUUUUUUUAUUAUAUAUUUAGUUUUGAUUUUAAUUAAAAUAAUCAUAAAAAUAAUAACUUAUCAUGUAUAUAUAAACAUAUACAUUUAAUAUACACCGUGUUUCAAUGUGUCGAAAUUCUUUAUUUUUGGAGAAUCAAUGUGUCAACAUGUCAGGUCACACGUGUUGUGUUAGUAUCAAUACUUUCUUGAAGAAUGAAAGUGUGUUUUCAGUAGUACUCCCAAUAGGAAAGGGAGAGUUGCUUGAUAGAGCAUGCAUUAAAAAAGACAGUGGAGAUGUUAUCGAUUUCUUACAGUACAUGGCAACAUAGAUGGUGCAUUAAGCUUCGGAAACAGAAAUCCUCAACAAUAUUCACGAAGAACAAAACGCACAUAUAUCAUGAUCUAUGCUAUAAGUGCUUCUGUUCUCAGUACUGCAAUAUCAAAUGCACAAGAACAGAAACAUACAGUACCAAGAUUAUUUAUGCGGUUUGCUAUCUCCUAUAUGGCGCUCGGAUAAAUUAGUUUUCACAAGCUGUGCUAGAUACAUGGUAUGCAUUUUCUCAACAUGUUUCUCUAUUCUUUCUGCAUUUUGUUUAGAGGACUAUUUUCAGCCAAGGUCAGAAAAGAAAUAGGUCAUACCAUUAUACGGCAUCAUGUCCACUUUCUGCUACUCUGAACAUUCCGACGUUCGGCCUGACGUACUGAAUUCCGUAGGCUUCGGCUGAUCUAGAGAUACCCCUUUUCUUUGCAGCAUUGGAUGGCUCCGUCGAACAUGUCCUCGAUCCUGUACUUAUACUCAAAACCGGCGUCCAACAGUUUCCUUGACGAUAGGCGGGGGAACCUGGGGCCUUUCAAUUCCUUCAAGGACCUAC
rnacentral:lncRNA from 1 species